rnacentral:lncRNA from 1 species
UUAAUCUGUUUUUCUCUGAAUGUAAGUUUUGUGAUAUAAUUUUUUUUUAACUGUAUCAAUGCACAGGAUACUGAUGGCUGAAACUACGUUGUGAGAAAAUUGCAACAAAUUCUCUUAAGACGUAAUAAAAACUAAGUCAAUCUUGUACAUUUUUAAACCUCUAAUUAUUGAAAGCUAAUGUAAACAAGAUUGGGUUACAAAAUUUAUUUCCUUUACUCUUAUUUAUUUCUUUAUUUGUGUAUACUAAAGAAAAACAUUCAUGCACACGUUACACAAUCGAUGUAUAUAAAAUAAAAUAAAUAUAAAUAUAAAUAUGAAUAUAUUUAUUUAUUUAAUUCAUAAUAGGUAAUUUUGAAAUAAAUGAUCAUACUAAAUUACUUAUUACUAUUGAUAUCAAGGUAUUUAUCUUAAUGUACAAAUUUACACAUAAAAAUAUAUUGUAGAAAAAUAGAAUCAUUGCUCAUAUUAAUGAUUUCAUAAAAUCAUAUUAAUGAUUUUAGAAAUAAUGAUAAAAAAUAUCUUGUGCUAUAAAAAUGUAAAUGCACAGUCAUACUUUUUUAUUAUCAUAGAAGUAAUUUCUAAUAUUGAAUUCUAAGAGUUAGUGAAUUUCAAAAGACACGACUUUUAAAAUGAUAAUGCAAAUUUUGUUUAUCUUUAAGAAUGGCAAUACAUAGUGAACUUGGUGUCAUUUCUGCCUAAGAAAAAAAAAGAUAUAAGAAAAUCUUUCUGGAUACUUAAGAUAAUAACAAAACAAUAGAACUUGUAAAAAAAAUCAAUCUUCUUUCUUAAAAAAUAAUAAAAAGCCUGUAAAAAUCCCAAGAAAACAGAUUUCCUUAUCAAUUUGUGUAUUUAUGUGUAUAUAUAUAUAUAUAUAUAUAUAUAUAUAUCAAAUUUUAAUUUUUCUUUAAAUUAAUCAGAUUACAAUGAAAAAAAGAUUACCAUCUCAAAGAAGAGUCUUAUUGAAUCUGAAAGUUACAUAUUUGAUCAAGAAGAACUUUCAAGUUUAGGAGCAAUGAUAUCCUUUAAUUUCUUCAUAUUUCAAUAGACCAAAAAAUUUAAAAUCUUUUAGAAGUUUAACUGUACUUUUCUAUUUAAAUAAAAUAAAAGAAUUUUGUGUGAUAUUUUGAGUAUUUGAAUAAAUACACAAAUAAUAAAGGCGUCAAUUAUGGUCUCAAAAAUAAUGAAACCUAAGAUAGUCAUUUCUUUCAGGUAGAACAAAUUUAUAGAUGAAAAUUUGUUCCCAAAAAAAAUCAUAAAAAUAAAAAUAAAAUAAAAAAUGAACUUUCCAGAUCUUUCAUAUGUUCAAUACGAGUUCAUAAUCAAUAAACUAAGUUUUCUAAAAGAACUAAAACUCAGUAAAAGCAGAAAAAAAAUUCUUGCACACACUUGAAAUUCUACAACAACAAUGAUAAUAUUUUUUCAAUAAUUCAUCCUUUGUAUUAAAAAAAAAAAAAAAAAAAAAAAAAAACAAUUAAGUACAACAGCUCAUAAUACCAAUCAACAUUUGAACUAUUUUCUGGAUGUAGACAAGUCAAAAGAAUCAUGAACUACAUGAAAGAAUGAAAACUAAGUCAUAUGGCUUCAAGAACAAAAAAACUUGUGAGGUUUUUAGAUUCUGACAAAUCAAAUACACCAAUGAAAAAGCCAGACAAUGAAAGUCCUGAAACAAUUUCAGUUUCUGAAGACACUGAUUUGGAUACUUUAGAAUCAUCUUCACCACCACAAUUUUCUGAAGAAUAUGGUGCAUACAUAUAUAGAACUGUAAAAAAAGUGCAAGAGAAGCAACUUGUGAUAAAAUUUCUUAAUGGCAUUGUUCCACUUCCAUUGCCUAUUGUGCCACCACCUCCACCUUUUGUCUACACCACCACCAUGUUCUCUUUCACAACUCAAAUCAAAUACCCCGGUUCAACCUAAGAGUGACUUAGAGUGGAUGAAGCAAUUUUGAAAGUCAUCAAAAAAAGACCCAAACAAAAAAAUGGCACUUGAUUGCAUUCUAUGGAAGCUACCAAUUGCAAAACUCUUUGCCGUUGGUUGCGUUUGGUCAUCUCGCCACAAACUCUACAAUGCACACAAAAAUAGAGCUUUAAUAAAAGGGGGUUUUGUGAAGCACAACAUAGAAUAUUAUCCCACCAUAUUUAAUGUGGAUACACGACAAGUGUGGGCCUUGCAUCACCCAAGCAAUGUGUGGAAACAAAUGCCACAUUUAAACUUUCUUCCAUAUGGUGUGAACAAAAUGUUGUGUGGAAAUGGAGGAUUAAUUCUUUUGCAUGGUGGAGUCCAACCAUACUCCUUGAGAACAAUAGAAAAGCAUUCUUUUAAGACUAAUAGGGAUCCAACUUCUAUCAAAUCCAAUCAUUGGACAUCAAAGUAUCCACCUCAACCAAUGCUAGUUUUAGUGAAUCAUAUUGUACGAAACUACUUGGUGUUGCCACCAUUGGAAAUGGUCUUGACCCACGUGCUUGCACAUAUCACCGUAUCCGCUCUAUCGGAUUCAUAUAUUAUUCAUCUUGUUGGAUGGAAAAAGACCCACAAUGACACAAUGGGUGUUUUGAAGGUUGGAGUCUACAAUUCCAUUGGAAAAGAAUGGCAUUUUCAUCCGGAUCUUGCAUCUAACAACCCGCUUACAAAAUCCUUUCAACCCGAUUUUGUAUUUGCUUUGAGCUUGAGAAGUUUGUGUAGGAUGCUCCCAAUGGUAUAUUGUAGUGAUGGUCCUUUGAUUUUUGUAGUGGGAAAGAUUGAAGCCGUUGGUGAUGAAUUUAAUGAAGAAAAAAAACUUGUGCCUGCUGUAAUGAGGUACAUCUUUCAAACAAGAUCUUGGGAGAGCGAUUUUUGGCCAUUGGCUGAAACAAUGGAAGCACCCCAAAUUGUUGAGUGCAAGUCCAAUGUAUAUUUUGUGAGUAGAACUUUGGCUCGUCCAAGAACUUUGCAUAUAUACAAGCUUGUUGAUUAUGAUCUAAACCAAACCAAGUUUUUCAAAGGAUGCAUGGAUCUUAUCAAAGUGUCAACAAUGAAUCAUGAUAUGUAUAGUAAAUGUUUUCUUGACUUUAAUAGUGUUGAGAUUAGUACACAAUAUUGUUGCAUAGGAGUAAUGGAAUGCAUUUGGAUUAUGUGUCAUACUCUACCUGUGAUAGUAUAUUAUAACGUAGAAAGACACUUCUGGGAAUAUAUACCAUCUAUUCCUUUGUUUGAACCUGGAAAGACAGUAAUUGGCAAUUGGAUGUAUCAACCCUCAAUCCAUGCACAAGUGUUAUGAUAUAUAAAUCCGAUUUUGAUUCUAAAUUUAUUUUUUAAAAAUAAUUCCCUCAUUAUCUUGAGUUUCAGUCAUAUGAUUUCUAAAUCAUUAUCAAGGAAAUUAAAUUCUAGGCUCUAAUAUGAGGUAUCAGUUUAUUUGUAGAUUUAGAAUUCUACCAAAUUUAAUAUAAAUUUAAUAUAAAUUUACUAUAUGUAGAAUUCAUAGAUAAACUUAUGAAUUACAUAAAAAAAAUUAAAAAAUAUACCUUUUUAUUAAUUUUAAUUUUUUAUAUAUCAUACUUACAUGAAAAUUUUAUAUAUCAAAUCUACACAAAACUUUAUCUAAAAUUACAUAAAUUUUUUUUUUUUGGACAUAAUUAUGUUUUUUUUUCUUUCAAUUUUUUGAUAGAUGCUUGAAAUUAUAUAUAUAUUAAAUUUAUUUUUACAUUUUUGUAUUGGAAAAAAAUUACAAUCAUUUUGAUGUAGGUUCAUUCCAUUUAUCGGGUCCUAUAGGGUCAUCUCCAAGUGGGUCCCAAUGUGGUCCGCGAUAUUCUUUUGUCCAAAGUGCUUUAAAAUUUGGCUCCCAAAUGCAACUUGCCAUGGAAUUUCUCCCCAAAUUGGGUGAAAAACACUUUGUUUCUUCUGUCAAUUUCCAACCACAUUGGCGAUCCAUAUUAAUCCAAGAGCACUUGUCUACAUCAAAAAGCACACCACUUCCACAACUUGGAACAUAAAAACAUAUAAGUGAAAAACCACUACGACAUUGAAAAGCAGGUUCUGUAUUGUGUUGAAUACACAUGUAACAAUUUCCAAACAAAUAAUCAUAUUGUUGCUUUGGCAUGAUUCCAAUCCUUUUAAAAGAAAACUUUGCAAAACCUCUCCUAUACUCUACAAGUUUAACUUCAAAUCUUCCUUGAGGCACUUCCUUGUUUUUAGCCGUUGCUCGAGACACUAAAUAGAGGCUACCAUUGCACUCCAUUAGAAGACAAUUUUCAAUUUUCUUAUGAUACAAUUCCUGACAAAAUGCAAAUCCAGUGAUUUCUUUUGUUUCAAAAUCAAAGCAUGAAAUCACUGGGAUCCAUUUGAUUGGAGGUAAGUCAAGUGCAUCAUUUUGCACUUCAAUUUUCUUCCCAUGAUCUGCCCAUUCAGAGACCCAGAAGAGUUUUUUAUCAACCAAUGCUAGGUCAUUACUCUGGUUAUUACAUAGAUUUCUUACAUAGAGCCGACUAUAGGUACCAAUCCAAUUUUUUACAUUAGAGUUAUAAAUAGCAACAACAACUUCAUCUCUACAAGGCAAAGAAUUUGAGUUUGGAAGCUUCUGUAUAUCUUUGGCUAAAAAACUGGUUUCUGAAAAACUUGUUUCUGAAAGAACAUUAUAACCAACAAAAUAUAUAUUAUACAUAGUACUACUCUCUUCAUCUUGUUCUAGAUUGGGCUUUACUUCCAUCCGUGCUAUUUUGUUUUGCAAUUGUUUAUGAGGAAAUGGAUGUACAUACUCAAAUCUCUUUAAAAGUGGGUUACAAACACAAGUGAUUGUUUGAGGUGGGUACUCAUCUAGGUUCCAUCCAUCUUGCAUGGAUAGACCAUUCUCACCUUGAAUUCUUUGCCGUGGUUGCCAUCUACCAUCUACUACAAGGUAACCUUUCUCACCCGCAAUAAUAGUAUCAACACCACAAGGAAGAAAAUUCAAAGAAGGUAAAUGAAUCUAUGGACUUGUUUUGUAUCCAUACUUAGCCAUGAAAUCUACAUCAAUCCUAUCUUCCUUUGUCAUUGACGAAACAUUUGGGAUAUCUUCACUUGAUUUGUCACAUUCAUUUUGAGGUUCUAAUGGCGGUAAUGUAGAUGGUGGUGAAGAGGAACUAAUAGGCAAUGUUGGUAUUGGUAAGUCUAAAUCCAUCAUUCGGCAACAACAUGGUUUGGUGUCAAUUAGUUGUGGCUUGUGUAGAGAUGGACCUAUUCUACCACAUGGGUCUUGUGAAGCAACCAACAUAUGAACCUUCUUUUUUGACUUUUGCCAAGCUAAAUGGGUUGUAUCUAGUUCUUUUUGGUUUAGGUUUAAAUCUUGUUGAACAUUUCCACAAUAUCCAAUACAACUAUGCAUGUUGCAUUCUUGGAAAUUAAAUAUUGGAAACAUUGUGAUGAACUUGUUGUUAUUCCAAGGAUCACCUUGAGAAGAUGGAUACCAAUCCAUUAAAAAAUGAUCCCUUGAACGGAAUUUUCUCCAUGCCAAAUCAAGUUCUAAUCCAUGAAGUUGGGGAAGAAAUCGUCCAACGUCAUCAAAAUGAGUGGUUUUCCAACCCACUGGACAAUUAUUGUGAAAAAUUGGUUCUGUGAAACCAGGUCCAGUUUUUGGAAGCUUGAAAAUAUUGUCACCCCAAUCUAAGUCCUUGAUUUCUGAGAGAUUAAAAUCAAAAUUUAACUUUGAUCCCUUGUAUUCCAUUCUGAAUGGAUCUCUCUUAUGGUAUAGGGUAAGUUAUAUUUUUUUAAUAAUAAUUUGAUAAAUAAAAUGAUAGAGAUACUUCUAUUCUUUUUACAGUGGAUUACAUCAUAUUUUCUUGAAUAUUUCGAAAUAUUCCAUAUUUUAAAAUAUACAAAUAGGUGAUUUAACUUUAAUGUUCAAACAUAUUUCAUGUUAAAAAGGUACUGAAAAUUAAUCAUCACGCAUGAUCUUUCAUGUCAAUCAAUCUUUGAAAACUAUUUGAUUCAUCUGCUUCUCUUGUGGCAUAUAUCAAUCAGGUACUAUCUUUUUUUGUUAAGUUUUAGAUUAUUUUUUGAAGAUGAAAUUUUUUAUAGCUAUCACAUGGCUUUUCAUAGUAACUUUUCAAUCGAAUGGUUUUACAUCUAUUGUUAAGUGAAAAUUCAUAUUUCUCAAUUCUAAUAAUAAUAAUAAUGAUUAAUCUUUUCAUACAUGUAUGUUAUUAGACAUUCUUGCAUUUUUAUUGAAAAUUUCUAAACUGAAAGUUUUGUAUUAUUUUUAGGAUCAUUAAUUUCUGCAUUAAAAUUUUCAAUUAUUAAAUACUGAAGUAUUAUUUAAUCAAAGUACAAAAUAAUAAUGUUUUUGAAGAUACAUUGUUACAUUUCGUUUCAUAAUCAAUAAACACUAAUAUUCCCUUUUUUAAAAUUACAAAUAAAAUCUAAUUUUAAAAAUUUGAUUAAUUUUACAGUUGUUUAUUUGUUCUAUUUUCAUAUCCAACAUAAUUUUAAUUGAUAUAAUAAAUUUUAUUUUUUAAGAUCUAAUUUUCUUGAUGAAAAUAUUAUUUUCAUAUAUUUAUAAAGAAACACUCUUAAAUGUUCGAUUUUAAUAUCAUACUGUCUUAAGAUACAUAAAUCUUGGAAGUUUUAUGCUUAAUUUUUUUUCACUAGAUCAUAUUCAAUGAUAAAAUGUUGAUCAAUUUAGUUAUUGAUUUCAAUUUCACUGCCUGAAUGGAUAUUUAAAGCCAUUCAAUUUGAACUUAUAAUCCUAAGAAAAAACGUACUGAUUUUUUCAAAUUUAAUCUUGUUAUACAUUUAAAUUCAGCUUGCUUUAACUAUCUUUGUACAUGGAAAUCGUAAAGUUCUAGUAACAUGAGAAGACUUCAAAAUCUUUAAAUUAAAAGAAUAUUAUUUAUUUCAAACUACAUAAUAAUUUUAAAUUAUGUGCCACAAAUCCAUUUUGUUUUUACAUUAUAAUUUUUUUUAUAGAAAACCUAUUUUUUAAAAAAAAAUCAUUGAAAAUAAACAUAAAAUUUAUGUAAAAUUAGUGAAAAAUUAUUCUGAAUGUACCAUAUUCUUUAUAUUUCGAAUGAAUAUCUAAGUUUUUUCUCAGUGCUUUACAAUUUAUGAACGUCUCUUAGCUUCAGCCUCUAUUUUGAAAUAUUUUGUAGAAUUUUAAACAAGAGUUGAUAUCACAUAUCAUGGGUGUUCGAAAAUAUUAAUUACUUUAACACAAGAAUAAUAAUUGAAACAGAUUUCUUUUUAAAUAUUUUUUGAGUUUUUAGUUGACUUGUAAUAUAGUUGACUUUAAAACAAUCAUCAUUUCAGGCUACGCUGUAAAGAUUUAAAUAAAUCGACUAUUUCAGUUACAUCAUAUUGGUUUAUAAAAUUAUAAAAUUGAAUAAAUAAAAAUAAAUAGAUAAAAAGAAAGAAAUGAUUAAAUGGAAAAUUAAUGAAAAAUUAAAAAUAAAUUUAACAUUUUAAGAAUAAGACUUCAGAAUGAUGAACAAGACUUGUAUCAUUUUAUUUAAAAUAAAUCACAUUUUUUUAAUUGAUGUAUAUGUACAUAUAAAAGAAAGAAUAAACUUUAUUUGAUGAAAAAAAUUAUGUUUCUUAAGAAGUAAUAAAAGAUAUUAAAUAAACACAUUUUCUGUAUAAUAUCCAAAAUUUAAUUUAAGGUCAUUUAAUCUUAAAUUAGAAAAAAUAAAAAACAUAUAUCUUAUAUUAUAAUUUAUUUUUUAUUUUUUUAUUCUUUAACAAUCAGUGUAUAUGUAUGUAUAUAUAUAUAUAUAUAUAUAUAUAAUAAUAAUAAUAAUUCUUUGCAUCAUUUUAAUAAAACUUACUACUAAUUAUUUCUACAAACUUUACUACUAUUAUCUUGCCAAUGCAACGUUCAUUUCAGAGAUAUUUGAUAUUUUAGUGUAUUGAAAUAGCUAAAUUUUAAUUACUAAGAAAUUCUCAAUCAAUAAUUGGUUUAACCAUUUUAAAUCUUUAUUAAUUUUUUUUAAAAAAUUAUGUAUUUUUUUAAAAAAUUAUGUAUUUUUUUAAAAAAUUAUGUAUUUUUUUAAAAAAUUAAAAAAUUAAAAAAUUCUAAUUGGUGUAAUGUAUAAAGGUUUUUUCAAUGAUCAGUUUUUUUUUUUUUUUUUUUUUUUUUUUUUUUUGUAAAUUAAAAAAAAUUGGUUUAAUUUUUAAAUUUAAAUUUUUAUUCUACAGUGAUAUAAUAUUAUAUUAUUUAUCUAUUUUAAUGAUGUAGAAAUUUUUAUUAUUUAAAUAAAGUUUAAGAAUUUAAUGCACUUUUAUAAUUAAAUUUGAAAAAUCACAAUGCUCAUAUAUAUAUAUAUAUAUAUGAAUUUAUAUUUUAAAGUAGUAAAAUAUCAAUUCUUUAUUUGAAAUUUAGUAUAAUCACUUCAAUUUCUUAAAAUCCAGAAAAGAGCUUAUGUGAAGUGACAUUUAAUUGUUGUUUUCUAUUCCACCAUGUUUCUUAUGAAGCUAGAAGUUCCAUGGUGUCCAAACGUGCAAAAGCUCUUUGCUUCCUGAUUGCAAAACAAUGGUUAUAGACACUCUUCCAGAGACCAGAGACUAUGGAUUCAUCUGUCACCUAUUAUUUUCAAAUAUGAAUGAGCAAAUGAAUGAAUGUUAUGACAAUCAAUUAUGCUCAUGACAAUCCAUGGAUUUUGAAGAAAUGGUGUAUGUGUCAUUACAAGAAAUAAUGCUCCACUUAUGUGGAUUGUGCAUUUGUUUAAGAUUUAGUUAGGAUUCACAAUUUGAUUAUGAUUUGAUUAAGAUUUGAUUAGAAUUCAUUUUAGGUUUUUAUUUUUUAUAUUUCUUUAUGAUUUUUUUUUAUCAUGUACACUUUUUUAAGAUUAAUUUAUAAAUUCUUUAUAUUUUUUUUGUAAUUUCUUUAAGACUUCUUUUGAAUUUGAUUAAAUUUUGAUUAGCAUAACUAAGAUUUAAUUAGAAUUUAUUUAUGAUUCUAUUAGAGUUGUUAGGACUUUCUUAUUACAAAUUCUAUUUUAUCUUUCACAACCAAGUGCUUAGUGCAUUAUCAAGUAAAUUUCAUGGAAUACAAUUUCACUAAUGUUUAGCACAAAUCGUAGGCAUUUAGCCACUUUUCUAAUAUGAAAAUAGCUUGGUGAGGUCAGACAUGUCUUUGCUCAUGUAGGGCCACUAUGUAGCAUUGAACUUAGUGAUUGCCUACUGCUAGCAGCAUCAUGUAUAGGGCCCAACAAGGUCAUUGAUAGCUAUUAGAAUUGGCACUAUGUAGCCUUCUUUUACAUGCUCUCAAAGGCUCUAAUUUCAAUCUCAUUUUUUUUUUUCAAAAUGUCUAUUGGUACUAAUAGAUAGAUAUUAUAUCUAGGUUAUACUAGCUUAUGUACUAUAUCACUAUGCCAUCUAUCGAGAUAGCAUCCAAAUUAGUGCCAACUAGUGGUAAUAUUUUAAAUAAACCAAUCAUUCAAACUUCACUACUUUGGAUCAAAGAUUUAUAAGAGAUUUAGUUCAAAGAAUCACUAUAAGUGUUGACAUUAAAUAUAUUCACUUAAAGUAAGGUAAUGCAUAACAACUCAAUCUAGGACUACUCAAGACUGGAUAACAUGACUAGGUAUAGCCCAACCUAUGUAAGACAGAUAGGAGCGGUUUUUAUUAAUUGUCCCUUGAUGAUGGACUUUUUCUAAUAUAUUUCCAAAUAUUUGGCAAAACAAUGUCAAUUUUGGAGAUGUUUUGCCAAAACAAAAAUUUAAGAGGCAAUGCAAUGUUACUUCUACAAUAGCUAGUCCAUUCUUCACCAUUGCUUCUAUUUUUAACUUAUAUAGUGGGAUAUUUCUACAAGUUUGGCAUCCUAUUUAUGACCAAUUUUGACAUUCUUUUGUCAAAAAUAGGUUCAUUGCUUGUUGAGUUUACAAUGUUUUUUAUCACAAAAAAAAAUAUUGUAAGAUAGAGUGGAUACAUUCUAAUUUAGGUGGCAAUUGUUGCUUCGUUGGAAUAGAAUUUAAGUUUAAUAGAAGCUAGUUGAAUUCCAAUUAUCUCAUCUUCAUAUUAGCAUCUAUAUAUAGCAUGUAAUUAGAUGAAGUUUAAUAGCAUAAUUAAGUGCCACACUUCUUUAUUGUGAAAAAGGAGGAUUCUUAGUUUUGUAACCCACCUUUGAUUGGAAUUGGGUUGGUCUAUCUAUCAAAUUUGAAUCAAAGAAAAUCUUCACGUAAUACAUUUACAUAAAUUUUAUUUUUGGACCAAAUUGUGUUAAAACACUUAGAAUCCUCUUGAUUUCUAUUUUCCUAUACAUGUAUAUUUUUCUUGCAUUUUUACACUUACUACAUAUAUGUUGAAAUGCUUAAAAAUGGAUCCAUCUUUGUGCAAAAAAGCACAAAUCUGCAAGAAAUGGAUGAGAAUGUUACCACCUCCAUCUUUAGAAACCACAAUGCCACAUUAGUAAACUGUGUUUUCAAACUACACCAAAUGAAGUGGUGCCAAAAGUAUUAUGAAUUAAAUGAAUUCAAUAAGAAACAUUUACCUCUAAUAAAGACUUCAAGUUCAAUGUUUUGAAUGAAAUUUACUGACAACAAAGAUCAACUUCUUGUACUCUCUUCAUUUCCAUGCUCUUUGAAUGCAAAUGCUUUCAUCAAUCAUAGCACCACAUAUUGAAAGUUUGGGCUCAGCGGGCUUUGGCUUAGCGAUCAUCUACAAGAUGACACAAACUCCAAACAUGAAAUGACAAUUGCAUUAAAAUUAGACAGCUUUGGCUUUCAGGCACUUCGAAAAAGCUUUGGAAACCGCUGAGCCUCUCUUGCUCCUGAAAUCAAACAGUGUCCAGUAUCCCCUCGCCUUUGCCUUAAAGAUCUCUCGUAACCCACGUUUGCUAGUGAUCGUUACACUUCAAAUUCUACUCAAAGAAAGCACCGAGAGAAUAUGGUAGCUGUGGUGAGAAAGCCCCCUUCUUCAUGCUGAAAAUAAACUUCAAGACAUUAAUGCAGAGGUUUCAGGUGAGAGCUCCGACACAAGAAACGAUUGAACAACCAAGGUGCAGCUGCAGUAACAAUAAGAAGCGAUUGAACGACACCUCAGCAGUCAAACCAACUUUGUUUCAAUUACUCCAACCAGCGGGAUCAAAAUAGAAUGAAGGGCUAACAUUUUUUGAUACUUCUGGAAGAUUUAAGAGUCAGCUAGAAAGCAGGGGGGGGACCUCAUAACCAUGCUCAAGUGAUUAGAAAUGAUUUUAAAUUUCAGAGUAAGUUCUUUGAUAGGAACGUUUGUAGGUGAAGAAUGUGUAACAACCUUCUCAUUGGUGAUAUUACGAGGAGGAAUGCGAGAAGAUGUUGCAUUUCUUGCUGUGCAAAUUGGCGAUUUAGAGGAUGAGUGCUCUACGUCCGAAUGAUUCAUAAUGGGAUUUGAAGGGGCCCCUGGCAGUUUCAUUGUGUUUGUAAUGUUUGAGUGCAUCUUUCUCUCCGAAUUGAUCUGCUGCUGCACGCCGACGAUUCUACUUAUCAUAGGCAUGCCUGAACUAUUUGGCAGAUGCAUUUUAGCUGGAGUUCGUGAAGCAGGUGUUUAUCACAUGAAAAUUAUUAGUAAAUCUGAGUGCAUGCUUUGUUCCCACCCAAAAACGAAGAGAAUAAUUCCACGCACAAUGACUUGUGCCUACUAGUGCACUUGUGAAUAGUUGGAAACAUACUAAGCAUCGGUCAAAGCAGAGCCGAUCGUGGUGAGCAGAGGACAUUACAAGGAAUCGACUCCAUCCUUCUAAGAUCCUACGUCUUGAGGUCUUUAAGGUCUCAAAGCCACGAAUUAUAUAAAACAAAUACCAAUCAAUAUUAUAAACUUUUCAGCUAAACUCUCAACUCAUUCCGUUGCUUAUUCCAUGUGCUUAAAAUUCUGAAUGCCUACCACCAGGUGCACACUAUAGUUCAACCGCUUCAAGAUUGACCGUACGGCAGAAUUUGCUCCUGUCAGAAUUCGACUAGGAUUUCAAUUGUAAAAAUACUGCAUAGUUCAGGAAGAUUAUUCUCCAUCCACCGUCCCACUACCCUUACAUCCUCACCGAAUGCAAUGUAAGUCCACAUUAUUUUAUUACCCCUGAAACCGUAGAACAUCACACCACGAACAACAGCUUCCUACAAUUUGGUCUCGAUUGAAAGGAUAGAAUUAUGCGAAGAAUUACAGAAUUUCAAUUAGUGUUCGUAAUCUUCAGCAGCAGCUAUGACGUAAUAAAUGCUAAGCGUAAUGAUCUCAGAUAACUAUGGUGGGAAUCAAAGGUCUCUAAACUUCAACCGACAACAAAGAAUAGCCCGCAUUCGCAAGCUCAGAUUUUUUUCGACCACACACUUGAGAAUUGCGGAAUAGCAGCAUUCUCAUCCUGGGACACAUGAGGUCUAAUCCGCUACACCAUUCUACUCAUCCAAUUCCUUUAAUCGAUCUUUUGAAGAGCACAAACUCUCUAGCUAUCUCCAACUCUGCAACUUCUUUCAUACGACGUUCAAGGAAGGAAGAUAAAAUAAAAGUGUUUAAUAAAUGUACAACGGUAGGCUGUUCACUAACAACAAAUUCACUACCGAAUGUGCUUUAAUAGUGAACAGCCUACAGUUGUGCUUUAAUACCGAAUGAGAUAAUUAAAAGUGUUUUAAUAUAUGUUAAGUGUUAUAUUUCUGAAUUAAACAUAUAUUAAAACACUUUUAAUAAUUCAAAGAAUUCAUUAGAGUAAAAAAAAAAUUGCAUGUAGAAAUAUUUUUAUAUCUAAAAGUAAAUAGAAAUUGUUUAUCACAUGUAUACUUUCAUUUUUCAAGUUCUUGUCCUUAGUAUAUUGUUGUAUUAUGUAUACUCUUGCUUAAGAAUGCACCGGGCAUGUAAAUAUGGAAGGUGAAUAAAAACACAACAACAAUUGUACCAAGUCUAAUAGAAUCAUAAAUAAACUUUAAGUAAUCUUUAAUAAUCCUAAUCAAACUUUAACCAAUCUAAGUGAAUUUUAAAAAAGUUACAAAAGAAACAAAAAGAAGUCAUAAAUUAAUUUCAAAGAAAUAUAAUAAAAAAAUCCUAAAGAAAUAUAAAAAUAUAAUCUAAAAAAAAUUAAAUUUUAAAAAUAUUAUAAAUAAAAAAUUUAUGGAAAUAAUAAGAAAUCUAAAAAAAUAUUAAAAAUAAAAAUCUUAAAUAAAUCUUAAAUAAAUCUUAAUCAAAUAUUAAUUUAAUAUUAAUUAAAAUCCUAAUGAAUUUUAACCAAAAUUUAGAUAAAAUUUUAAUUAAAUCUUAAUUAAAAUCCUAAUUAAAAUCCUAAUAUAUGUUAAUCAAAUCUUAAGUCAAAUACUAAUUAAAUUUUAAUUAAAAUUCUAAUGAAUCCUAACAAAAUUCUAUGUUAAAUCCUAAUUAAAUCCUAAUAAAAAUUCUAAUGAAUCUUAACAAAAUUCUAUGUUAAAUCCUAAUUAAAUCCUAAUAAAAAUCCUAAUGAAUCUUAACUAAAUUAUAGGUCAAAUCUUAAUGAAAUCCUAAUGAAAUCCUAAAUUAUAUAUAAAAUUCUAAUCAAAUCUUAAAUCCUAACUAAACUUUAAUGAAAUCCUAGAAAAAUCUUAAAUCUUAGAUCAAAUCUAAUAAAACCUUAAUAAAAUAUUAAAUCCUAAAUUAACUCUAAUAAAAUUAUAAAAAAAUCCUAAAUCCUAAAUCCUAAAUAACUAAUAAUUGAAAUUAUUAUUUAGGAUUUAGGAUUGAAAAUUCAAUAACUAAUAAUUGAAUUUUUGAUUUAAAUUUAAAAUUUAAAAAUUUUGUAAAAACUAAGUUAGAAAUAAGCACAAAUAAAUUGAAGAAGAUUGCACAUAUCAAAUAGACAAAAAUCCCUAAACUCCACUCAUGUACAUGUUGGCUUCUUUUUCCAACAUUGAUGUUGAUAUUUUAGAGUCACAAUUUCUUAAUUUUACUAUUCAAUUGAUUUUAAACCUUCAAAAAAUAUUGAAAGUCAAAUUAGCUAUUGUUGAAAAAAAUUGUAUAUUAAUCCAACUAGUAGAUUGACAAAUACCUUAGAAAUCUUCACCAGUCCUAUAAAUCCCAAUUUUCAUGACCACAACUUAUAAAAAAUCUUAUACCAUUCAAUCUAACUAUUCAAUUGCCUUCAAAUUUCUCACAUACAUUUAAAACAAGCACAAUAACAAAAAACCAAAUUUUCAUCUAUAAAUAUGUCACAAAAUUUACAAAAUUCUUAAACUUGUAAAUUUAUUUUAUUUUUCAAAAUCUAAAUCCACUAAGUAGAUUACUUAUCUUUGAAAAUCUCUCAAAGCUUCAAUAUUAAUCCAAAUGAUAUAAAAUCAAUUUCUAAAAAUCUCAAGUUUAAUAUCAAAAUCUAUUCUUUAAUAUGCCAAAGAGUCCUUAGAGUUGUCAUAGAUGUGCAAUUUUGUGCCUUAAGGUUUGAUUUUGAUACAAAUUUACAAUUAGUCUACUUUAGAUAUCAAUUUUUGAUAAUUUGAGGUAAUUUUUAUUUUAAAAUAUUUUUAAAUAUCUCUUAAAUUUACUUAUAUUAUUUACUUAUUUUAUUUACUUUUAUUUGAGGUAUUUAUGUCUCUAAAAAAUAAAUAGAAGUUCCUUCUAUAAAACGCAGUAUUAAGACUAAAAUUAUUACUAUCUUCCUAUCAUUUAUCCUUAUUUUUUUACUAUAUCUUUCUAUUAGGCUCUUUUAUAAUAAUAUCUAUAUUUUUAUUUUUCACCAUACAAUUGUAUUAUUACACGAGUACAUUUACAUUCACAAAUUAAAAUGGAUUAUUUACAAAAUACAUAUAUGUUUAUUUUAUCUUAUAUUAUAUAUAAUAAUUAUGCAUUUAAAGUAUAAAAAUAAGAAAAAAUGCUCAAUUUUAGACUUCCAAUAUAGUGACUUCAUAUUUAAAAUAUAUAUAUAUAUAUAUAUAUAUAUAUAUAUAAAACCACAUAUAAAUGACUAUCUAAAAUAGUUACUUGUUAGAUGCAUUCUAGUCUCGAUAUGCUCGACUUGCCAAAAUUCUUACUUGUAAAUAGAUCCAACAUAACUUUAUACCAGACAAGAUUUUUUCUACUAAAUACAACUCUACAAGACAAUUUAUGCUUAGCUAAAAUGCUUACUUGUAAAAAAAUAAAAUAAAUAAAAAUACAUCUAUAUAAAUUCAUGUUCAAUCAAAUUAAUUAUUUUCUAUAUGAGGCUCAUUAUACAAAUUGCCAAAAAAAUUAUUAAUACAAAACAAUUCAAUAAAAAUAUUAAAAUAUAUAUUGAUAUAAAAAAAAUAAACAAAAUUUCUAAACAAUAUGUAUCAUUUUCAUUUAUAAAACCUUGUAGUAUUGUAAGAGAUUGCACAGAUAAUUGCAUUGGACAAUAACCCACUUAUCAACUAGGUUCAUAAUCUUGAGUGAAAUAUUUCAUAAUACCACAACAUCACACUUCAACAUCUUCAACAUAUCCAACAUAUCAAAUAUAAGUCAACAAAAUAAGAGUUGAGCAAUGAACAAUUUAAGAUGAAAAGCACGCAAGAGUAGAUGUAUGAAACAAAGAAGGUCAAAGAAUUUGAUAUGAAGUGGGAGUAAAAAUAGUCCAUACAAACUAACUAACAAAUAAAAGGGCCAUAGCUUAGAAGUGAGGCCACGUGAUAAGAUGUAGUGGUGAGUUAGUUGUAUGACAAAUAAAGAAGAUACAAGCAAUGGAAUUUAUACAAAAAGAAAGUUGUGGUAUUUGUGUUGUUAAUGGUGAUGGGGCCAUUUAGAUCCUAAGAAGGAUCUAAGAGUAGUCAAAUAACUAUCAUUGUAAUAUAGUGGUAAAUAUUCUUACUUAGCACGUAGGUAAUUUGGGUCUAAUUCUUAGUAAUGGUGUGGUAUCUAUCAUUCACUAAUACAUCAAUGAGUCUAGUGAUAGAAUAGUAUCUUGCCAUAAUAUAGAUCUAGAAUGAAUUCUUGACUAGUGCAUGUUUCUUAUCUCUUUAUCUUUUUUACUUUGUUUUCUUUGCCUACUUAUUCAUCUACUAUAACGUUGCUUUGACUUGAGUUUCAAUAAAAACUGAAAUUCCCACCAAGUUAAGAUUACUCACUUAAAAACAAAUUCAAAAAAACUUGAAAUAAUUUCUUCAAACCUUUGAGUCAUCUGAAACAAAAGAAAAAUUCUUUUUUAGAUUCAAAUUCUGGAUACUACCGAUUGUAAUUGAGAAUUACAUCACAAUUCUAUAAUGCAUCACAAUCCUAAGUAGCACCAUGCCUCAAUCUCUAAGCUGGACAAGCUGCUACAUCUAAGCUUAUGCCUUUGCAUUGUACUUUGAAACUGCCUUUAGCCACCACUCAAGGAGGUCGCUUUAAAAAUCAACUCUCACUUUCAAAUUGACUCUCAAUAUCCUAAACUAAAUCUAAAUUGGAAUUUAAAUUUCUAAGGCAAGUGACUCUCAAGUCCCUCUAAAAAUCAUUGGUACUUACAUUUAAUAAUUAACUUAUUUUACAUCUUGUUUUGUGCCCCUGCACAAAAUUUAUCUUAAAGUGAGAAAGGUGGCCCUUUCAACUUCUCCUAUGCCACCUUGUUGUAGAUUCUUCUUGAACAUUGAAAAGUCUUUGGCUUACAUUUACCUCUAAUUAAGUGUAAGAAUUGAUUCCUUUUGAUCUUUAUACCUUGCUCUAUUUUGAAGAAUCAAUGUCUUUAUUGAUACAAAAUUAGCCAUUUGAGAUGUAAGAUUUUUUUAGGAAUUUAUUCCUAGUAAAUGUUUGUACUAUACAUCUUUCUUUCAAGUAGCUUGAAGGUUCUUUUCUACCUAGUUCCAUAUUGUAUCUUUUCUUCUCUAAAGAAUUAGAGUUUUUUUUUAUUAUUUUUUUGAACUGGGACAUUAUUCCUUUCUUGCAUUUUUUUUUGAUGCAAUCACUUUUUCUAACCUUUAACUUCUUUAAGUUCUUUCAAUUCUUACAUUUGAAAGUCUACACUUCCAAAUAUGAAUUAUAAGGACUUGCAUCCCUAUUUAAACUUUAUCACAGCCAUUGAACUCUUUAACUAAGAUCCGCCUUAUCUCAGUAUCCUUUUCUAUGCUAUAGAAGUAAAUUAAAAUCACUAAAUAAAAAAUCCAUUUAUAAAAGGCCAACCAAUUAGGCUUGAUUUCUCAAAAUCUUAUAUCCGUCUCAUACAAGCUUAUUAAGGUUUUCUUCUAUAAAGUCUCUUUGGAUUAGAAUCCUUUCAAAUCUUUUAUCUCUUAAAAACUUGUAUAUUAUAGUCUUUUGGAACUUAUGUCCUAAAACUUUUUUUAAGUUAUAUAUCCUUCAUCUUUAUACUUUGUUCAUUUUAGUGUUAACUAAAAGAUUUUUUAUAUAUUUGGUUCAACUCUAACUUAUUCUUUUUGGUAUCACAUAAGAUUUUGUGAUCUUCUUCUACUUUGGAGUGAAGAUGUCAUCAUCUUUUUGGUCACCCUCAUUUGUCUCUCAUAUUAUAAAUUCAAUUUAAUGAUUCUUUAUUUGCUUUCUUGUGGUCCUUUGUCUUUUAUAAUCAUCCAUUUAUUUUAUUAAAAGCUAUGACUAAUCCUUCCAUAUGUCUCAAGUUCUUUUUAUUAAUCCAUUAGAACUCAUGUAGAUGAUAACCUUUGAAAGUACUUAAGUAUUGAAUCUCUCUAAUAUCCAUCUAUUUUUGUCAAAUAUUAUUUCUACUUAAUCCGUAGUUUGGUUUCAAACCUCCUCUUGAGGUGGAACUUCUAUCUUCUCUUUGUAAAAGCCUUAUAUAUCCUCUACAAACUUAUUAAAGAUAAUUAUAUAGAAAAUUAGAUGCCACUUCAAUCUUUUUGGUAUAUCUAAUAUAUAAACAUUCUUAUAUGAUAUUCUUUCAAUCUCAUAAAGACUUGCCUAUUUUUGAAUCUAUUUGGAAGUGAAAUUUACUAGACAAAUGAGAUUAUUUAUAUUAAGCCAUACUUUGUCUCUCUUCUUAUAAUGCAUAUUCUUCCUAUAUUUAUUGGUUUAUUUCUUAUAUCUACUUUUAGAUAAUUCUAAUCUAGCUUUAAAUUUUUUUAUUAUAGCCUCUUUUUUGGCCACUCACCUUACUCUUUCUAUUGAGUAAAAACCUAAAAUGGUUUUAUCAUUCUACCUAACUCUUAUUAAGUCAAUUGAUUUAAGUGAAUCAAAGCAAUAAGCCAUUUAAAAAGGUGUUUUUUCUAAGGAUUCACUUUGAGUAGUAUUAUAACUAAAUUCAGCUAUGGACAAUGACUUGAUCCAAUUCCUAUGGUCACUUGGCACAUAGUGCUUUAAAUACAUUGAAAGGAUUCUAUUGAUUCUUUCAGUUUGGCCAUCUUAUUGUAGAUACCAAAUAAUGAUAAAUAUUAUAUUGGAUCUCAAUUUCUUCAUAAUAUGUUGCUAAAAUAGAAUUAAGAAUCUCACAUCUUUAAUACUUAUAAUUGAAUUUGGCACUCUACACAAAGAGAUCCAUCCAUCAAAGAAGAAACUUUUGAUCAUUCUAAAGGCAAUUUUUAACUCUUCUUUUGAAUUCUUUGAAAACAUUGUUAUUAAUAUAAAUCUAAUAAUCUUGCUAAAUCUAUCUAUAAUGACUAAUAUGGAUUUAACUUCACCACACUUUGAUAAGCUAGUUAUGAAGUCCAUUGAAAUAUAUAUAUAUAUAUAUAUAUAUAUAUAUUAGAGAUGGAAUAGGUAAUAGUUCCAAAAGCCUUACUUUUGCUUAUAUAAAGUGGUUGUUUCUUAGAUAUACAAAGAAACUUCUUACAUAUUGUUCUACAUUUUUUCUUAUAAAAAGCCAAUAUUAAGACUUUGUUAUAUCUUUUAAUAUAUUCUUAACAUCUUUAUGUCCACCACAUAGAGAAUUAUAUACUUUAUACAUUACUUUCUUUUUUCAUUUGCCUUAUGAUAUAUAGAGUCUAGUUUCUUUAAACCAAAUAAGUCCAUCCUUUAUAGAAGAGACUCGUAUAAGUCUUCUUUAUUUUCUUGUAGUUUUAAUUUGAAAAAAUACUUUAUUUAUUUCAAGUGCAUCUUCAUCAUUUUCAUAGUCUUUAUUAAUGCCUUUCAUAAAUGGAGAAUCAUUACAAUAUACUAUUGUUUUUAGUAAUAUUGAGUCAUAGAAUUUUUCUCCUAUGAAUUCUUUUCUUCUACCUAGUGUAUUCAAUACUAAGUUGUCUUUGCUUGAUUUGCAAAUGAGUUCAAUAUCUAUUGAAACUAUUGCAUCACACCACCUCAAUUUUUUAAGAGAAGCUUAUAUUUUUGAAGUAAAGUACUUAAGAAAAAAUAUUGUCAAUAUACACUUUGAUUCUCUUACCUUCUAAGUAGUAUUUCCAAGUUUUUAAGCAAUACACCAUUGCAAAUAAUUUCUUUUCAUGUAUUAGCUACCUCAAUUGGCUUCUCUUUAACUUCUUACUUUCAAAAGCUAUAGAUUUUUUUUCCUACAUUAAGACUCCAUCAAUUGCAAAGUCACUUGCAUCAGUAUAGAUUUCAAAUUCUUUAACAAAUUUAAUACUAAUUUGAUAGAUCUAAAAAGGAUCUAACUCUCUUUUGAGUUAUUGGUACUUUUCAAGUUUUGAUUGCUUCAAUUUUCUUAGAAUCUAGCAUAUGUCCUUCUCCAUUGAUAACAUAUCCUAAGAAUUCCAAAUCUUUCAAGAAAAAGAUUUUUUUUUUUCUUUUUUAUCAUAGAGUUGGUUUUUUCUAAGCUUCUUUAAGACUAUCUCUAAUUAUAGCUUAUUCUCUUUUUUAUUCUUAAAAAAGACUAGAAUGUCAUUAAUUUAAACUACCACAAAUUGAUUAUUUUCUUUAUAAAAGAUAGAAUUUAUUAAAAUAGUUAAGAUAGCUAGAAUAUUAUAUAAUCCAAAAGGCAUGAAUACAAACUCAUAAGAACCAUACUUGAUUCUACAUACAAUCUUUUCUAUGUCCUCUUAAAUAAUCCUUAUUUGAUAGUAACCAUUCUUAAGAUUAAUCCUACUAAAAUACUUACUACUACUUAACCUAUCUAACAAGUCAUCAACUCUUAAAACUUAGUACUUGUUUUUGAUAGUGAUCUUAUUCAAAGUUUUAUAAUUAAUAUAUAUCCUCAGCUUGCCAUCUUUUUAACUCACAAAAAGAAUUGAAGUUCCAAAUACGAAUUUACUUUGUUUAAUGUAGCUUUUUUUAAAUAACUCAUUAAAUUAUUUCUUAAGUUUUUUUUAACUCCAUUUAGUGCAAUAUAUAAGCAUCUUUACUUGAUGGUUGUGUUUUUUGAUCUAAAUCUAUCUUAUGAUUCACCAAUCUAUUAGGUGGAAGUUUCUUUAGUAAUUCAUUUGUCAAAACAUCUCCAAACUCUAACAUAAGAUUUUUUUUAUAAAUUUUAAAAAAUGUAGAGUGGUCUUUUUUAAUUUCUUUUUAUUAUUAGGAAAAUCAUGUAUACAUUCAUCAUCAAAAUCAGAAUCACUACUUUUUAAGUAUAAGAAAAAUUGUUCUCAUUCUAAUUUACCUUGAAAGACUAUAGAGAUUCUAGAUUCAUAUAAUAUAAAUAGAUUUGUGAAUGGUAAGUUUAUUACUUUCUCAUUCUUUCCAACCAUAACUACUCUUAAUUUAGGCUUCAAUUAAAAUUCCAUUCUAUAAAAGUCUAAAAAUGUAUUCUUUAAUACUACAUCUAUUUUACUUAGGCUAUAUAUUGUGAAGUCUUUUUGGAACCUUUAAUUUCUAUACUUAAACUUCACAUCUUUUACAACCAAAUUAAUUGUCUUUCCACCUUGGAUAAAAGAUAUCUUCACUUCCUUAGUUGUUUAAGCCAAUUCCAAUUUCUUGGUACAAGUUGGAUUCAUGAAUGAGUUGGUUGUUUCUAUGUCAAUUAACAUUAAAACCUUAGUAUUACUAAUCUUAAAACUUAAAUAGAUGAGUUUCUUAUGUAAACUUCUUAAGGUGAGUUUUCCUUCAAAACCUCCAUCUCUUAUCAAGACUCUCUUAUUAAGACUCAUAACUUGAAGCCUUUCAACUUCAUGAAUCCUAAAUAAAAAAGAAGUAUUAGAAAUUUUACUUAUUUUAUUAGGUACUUCUUCAUUCUUGCAAUCAUUGAAAUAGUGUUUUUUUUUUUUUGAUACUUAAAACAAGUCAAAUUCGAUGACCUUGCUUUUGCCUUCUUAGAACUACUUCUUUGGCUUUUCUUAUUUCUAGGCAUAGAGAAUUUGAGAUUAUUUUCUUCAAAUCUUCUUGUUGAAAAAAGAAAUUUCUUAUUACUAUAGAAGGAAUUAGCUCCCCCUUAAGAGUUGUAUUUUCUUCCUAAGUCUUAAUCAUAGUACUUUAUUUACUACGGCCAAUUCCUUGUUCUUUUAUUUCUAACUAAGAGGCCAAGGUAAAGGCAUCAUUUAUGUUGGUGGAAAUGGUUUUUUUUUUUUUUUCAAUAUUUUUUUUUAGUUGCCACACUUAAUCUAUUAUAAAAGAAGAGUAGGAAAAAAUUCUCAUAAUCCAAUUAGGUGUAAGAAAAUUGGUUUUGAAAAUCUCCAAUAUAUUUAAAGAGUGAAGUCUUUUCUGCUUCUUAUCUUAGCUUCAGAAGUUGCAAACCUUCUAUAAAGUUUUGCCACUUGCUUUCAAACCUCUCAAUAAGUCCAUUACAUACUUCAAUUCAUAUAGUUUCUUUGGCAUAAUUAAGAUUGGCUUAGAUUUUUCCAUCAAACCAAUCUAAAGCACUUUUCUUAAGUAGAAUAAAUAAGGUCCUUAUCUUAUCCAUGCCUUUUAAUAUCAUUUACUAAGUGUCAAUAUUCCACUUCCUUGAGAAACCUCCUUGUAGUUUUCUUGUGCUUUGUGCCUCUCCUCUUUUUAGGUUGAUCUAUUUUGGUUCUAUAAGAGCUUGACUUGCCUUUCUAGCUUUUGAAUAAAGUCUCUUUUCUCACAUUUUUUUUCAUUAAAGAGCCUAUAAAAAGUUGAUUCAUUUCUAUCUUCUUUUCAAACUCUUUGUUUUUCUCUUUCAUUAAUAACUUCACCAUCUCCUUAAUUUCAUCAAAGAAAAAUAACGUUUUAUUUUUCAACCCUUAAACUUCCCAUUGAGCUCUUUGAAGUUUUGGAAAUACUUUGCCUUUGGAACCUUGGAUUCUUACCCUCUUUAUUACUUUCUUCCUCUUCACUUUGAAGAAAUUAAAUUUUUCUCAAACUCUCUAUGGGUUCUUCUUGCUCUUGUUGAGUCUCUUGUCUUCCUUCUUCUAUAAGAAUAGAAACCUCUUCUUUAAGCAAGAUCUUCUUCUUCACCAACCUUCUUUUUGAUUUAGCUCCUUAAUCCACUUAUAUUUCUUCUACAUUAGCUUUAAAGAUCUCUUUAUUCUUCAAUUGUUGGUAAGAAGGCCUUGUAGUUUUUUUCACCAUUUUGCUUUAGUUUCACUUAUCUUAAGCAAAAUUCUUAAUUAAAAAAUUUUCUUCCAAAGUCUUCUCUUUAUUUCUGAUCUUGUAGACUUUGAUACCACCUGUGACAUUGCCUUAACUUGACUUUUCAAUCAAACCUAAAAUUCCUAUCAAAGCAAGAUUAUUCACUUAAAAACAAGUUCAAAACAAUCCAAAACAGAUCUUUCAGAUCCUCGAGUCAUCCGGAACAAAAAAUAAUUCUAUUCCAAAACUGGGUUUUGGAUACUAUCAAGCUUUGACCUAGAGUUGCACUGCAUCUGAUGCCUAAGUUGGAUGUGCUCCCAUCCUUAGGCUUGUGCCUUCAUAUUAUGUGUUGACAUUGCCCUUGAUUGCUACUUAAAGGGGUUCGCUUUAGAAGUUAACUCUCACUUUCAAGUUGUCUCCUAAUACUCUAAAGUAAAUUUAAAUUGAAGUUUAAAUCCCUAAAAUAAGUGAACUUUGCAUCCCUUUGAAAAAUACUCAAGACUUACAUUUGAUAAUUAACUUAUUUUGCACCCUGCUGUCGUAUUGCAUGUUGUUUUGCUGAGGAAUGCAUCAGACACUUAGCUAUGAAAGGUGAGAUUAUGUUUCACAAGUAGCCAAAAAAGCCUAAUAGGUUUCACCCAUACGAGAAGAAUAUAAUCUGAAUUUUAAUUCAAAAGUGCUUAAAAAACUCUUCUUAGUAGUCUUAACCAUACAUAAAUCCUAAUUUCCUUGUUACUUUCAUAUUUAAGCAAUUUAGAUUUUUCUUGUAAAUCCCAAUUCUAAUCAGUGAGCUUUAACAAGGUAUAACAUCCAAUCCGACCGUCCACUUGGUGUGUAAUUUUGCAUACAAUUGUAAAUGCAAGUCUUCUAAAUGCUCAAGAAUUUUUAGCUCAAUCCAACGUACAAAUUGUGAGAAAAUCUCCAAACAUUGCACCAAUGUCACUUGGCCGCCAACUUGAAAAAAGAAGCAAAAAUCCCAGCAAUGAUUUCUCCUUCUCCAAUAGUGAACUUUGUCUCAAAAUUGGCGUGUAGCUUGAUCUUUAAGUCUUCCAACGCCAUGCUAAUUUUCACCUUAAUCCGAUGAAUAGAUCUUUAGAUAUCAUAGAAACCUUACCCAACCUCAAACUGCCACCUUUUGAAACCCUCUUGUGCUAAAAACUAGAUAUCUCCAAACCACGCCGUUAGAUUUUUACAAAAUUUUAUAUGAACUUAGCACACCCAAUAAUCCAAACAAUAUCAAAUUUUCAACCGUAGAUGUCAUGCCAAUUGCACGAACUAGCCAAAAUUGCUAGCUCUAAUUAUAUUAUAUAAAACCCAAAUCACUGAUACAAACCCUGACUUUGAACAACAAUUGCUAAGUCCUCCAAAACCCUCUCAAAACAAUUCUUAUGUCUUUGGAAUGAAAUUCAAGCUAGCUUUCGAACCAUAACCUCCGAUCUUCAAAUGAAACCCUAUUUUGCCCUAGGCCGUCGUUUUAGUGCCUAGAGGUCUGAUUUCGACCUUGUCUCACAAAUGGUCGACCCCCAAGUAUCAAUCCAUCCUAUCUUAAGGAUUUUUUUGCUCAACCCUAUUUUCAACUUAACCUUAGUACCAAUUAUACUAAUUAUUUACUUCUUCUAAUCUGAUUUCAUCAAUUUAUGGUCUUUCUAAGAUAGUAGAAGAGUCUCUAUAACCUAGAAGGUAAAAUUACUAACUAACCUUCAACCUACUAAUUAUUAAGAUAAGAAAAUAACCUAAGAGGCUUUUAUAAAAGCCAUGUUUAGAUACCUCAAAUUAUAAUUAAAACACAAUAAUUAGAUAUUAAUUAGAAAUUCAAUUUUGAUUAUAAUUUCACUAUAUAGUCGUAUGACAUCACGACACUGCCUUAUGCCUUCAUAUAAGGAUUUCCUUAAGAUGAAGAAAGUGACCCUCUCAACUUCUCCUAUGCUACCUUACCAUGGAUUCCUUCUAGACAUCAAGAAGUCCUUGGCUCACAUUUACCUCUACAGCAAGUGCAAGGGUCAAUUCUUUUUGACUCUUACACCAAUAUCCAAGGUCCUCAUAAAUGAAGAUUUUAUCACCUUGUCUUUCCACCAUAUAAAUUUCACUGUCCUAACCCCAUUUCUUCAUGUUCCUACAUAUUCUAAUCAUGUUUGUAAUAAUCCUACACUCUUGCACACACCCACCUUCUAUUACAAACAUCUUACAACCCCUUCAUUUUCAUCAUCCUCUUGUAUCUAUCAUUUCUUGUUUGUGAAACAAAAAUUGUAUAAAAUGUAUUUUCUAUUGCCUCAACACACCUAAAUACAUGUAUUCAUCACAUUCAAAAAUAUAUAUUAAAUUGCCUCAACACACCUAAAUACAUAUAUUCAUCACAUUCAAAAAUAUAUAUUCAUACUUACCACUAUACAAACAAGCACAAAAUUGCUUCCUUUCUCAAAUGGUUUGAAUUACAAAUAUUCACCCAUUGUUAUCGAUUUACACAUUUGUUUGUAUGCAAUUGUCGAAAAUAAUCAUUUUGCAGUGAUUGAGCGUGGAUGAAUGUUAUGGACAUGUUUGUGUGAUUGUUGCAUGUAAUGACAGAAUGUGAAUGGGUCCAAUUUAAAACAACAGUGAAGUGGGCCCACUGACUUGAGAAAAUAGGUAAAAAGGUCAAAAGAUGUUUUUUUUCAAAGUUCAAAGUCAAAAUUUAUUCUCUCACAUUGGAACCUAUUCACACCGCCAAUCUGGCCCCACCCGACGUGGAUAUAUGUCUGCGGCGGCGCUCAUUCAAAGGUACUGGCUCGCAAGUUUGCCUUCACGCACAAUGUAGUUCUGCUCGGGGAAAGCCUCGUGCUUCAACCAGCGGUCGAUCAUGUCCUUCGUCCCGGCUGCGAACCGUUUCUGCAAGAGGAGGAGGAAUUUAUGAGUAGGAUUUUUCUGGAAUUAUAGAUAUGAAGCCUCUGAUAAUGCUUGCAAUGCAGGAAAUUAAGACUGAUACUGUAAUCCUAAUGGUGGGGAGCUUUCAUCACCUGGGCGUCGAGGGUCGUGCCGGAGAUAUGGGGGGUCAUGGCGUGGUUCGGCAUGUAACGCCAAGGAUGGUCCUUUCCUGCCGGCUGAGCGUUCCAUACAUCUCCUCCAUAUCCUGCCAAUUUCGGUUACCACGGCUUAGCGAUCGAUCCAGCAACCAGAGCCAUUCGUGAUUGGUGUUCAUGUUCCUGGUAAGCAAGCCUAGGAUUCUAGGUUAGCGACAUGCAGGGGAUGAGCGGAAGUUUUCGGAAGUUGUCGAGUUACCUCCGAGGUGUCCUGACUCGCAUGCUUCUUUCACUGCCUCCGUAUCUGCAAUGGCUCCUCGCGCGUUGUUCACCAGAUAAGCUCCCUUCUUCAUCUUCGCAAUACGCUCCUUGUUGAACAGACCCCUGUUGACGUUUUCCAUCACCGAAAUGCGAAGCUCGUCAGAGUGGGAGGGGUUGUUAACGCGUGUACAAUAUUACAUUCGUAACGUUCUGUCUAGUGCCGGAAAUGGCUAGGAUAUGAAGGAUUCAGCGUGACAGGUAAUCGAUCACGGACCGUGUUUGAUCCGUCAAGGGCGUGUUCACGACGACGACAUCGCACUUUGAUAACAUGGUGUCCAGGUCCGUCUCUCGCUUGCAACCCAGCUCUUUUUCACGUUCGGCGCCGAGCGAGUUCCUGUCGUAGUAGAGCAUCUCCUUAAGCCCGAAACCCUAUUCACAUGCAAAAUCAUACUUGCAAGUCUGAAUCAAACAAUCACUUGGAAGUUGGGAUCUUAAGUCUCCACAUUGCAGAUCAAACUUAAGAAAAUUUCUCUGCCAUAUACAUGCACGUAAGGGUUGCUAACCUUGAGCCGUUUCAUGAGCUCUUGACCGAUACGGCCACCACCAACUGUGCCCACGGUCCUGUCAAUCAGGUCAUAUGCAUGGUGGACGACAGCGGCCACAUUCCAACCACCUUCGGAGACCUGCUUCCAUCCUGGUGCAAAGUUUCGGACCAGAACCAGUAUACGCAGCACUUCAUCCUCCGCAACUGACGUCACGUUGCUUCCUGAAAUUUAUAUAUCAAGGACCCAAUCGCAUUACAAAUAGUCCCGCCGUGAUACGCAAUCUUUUGGUUUUGCUUUAUGCUAUUCCUUGAGGUUUUAUGGGAAUCCAAGCACAUACCUGUGACCUCUGACACCGUAAGGCCCUUUUCAGCAGCAGCAUGAAGGUCAAUGUGGUCGGAUCCCACACCAGCAGUCACCAAGAGCUCGAGGUUCUUGGCUUUGGCGAGCCUCUCCUUCGUCAUGUACGCAGGGUGGAAGGGCGUAGUGAUCAAAAUGUGUGCGUCAGCUAACUCUUUAUCCAGUUCUGCACAAUUAGAUGCCUCAUAAGAAAAUAUUCGACGGAUACAAAGUAAUCAUGCAAAUCACUACACGACAGCUGCUCUAACAGACAUGGCCGGAGCAUGUCCUCCAUAGCCAUCGUCUUCGCCUCAAAUAAUCAAGAGAAUCUUGGAGAGGGAAACGUACCAGAGUCAGGGCCAUCCUUGUCGGAAGUAACAACGUACUUGUGGCCUUUUGAUUCCAACCACUCGCGAAUUCCCAAAGCGUUUUCGACACAUCCCAGAAACUCAGGAUUCUUCGCAUACUCGUGUGCAGCGAAAAAGACACCCAAUAUCUUCUUAGACUCUCCUCCCUGCUUUAUCUCAACAACAAUACGCACUUAAUUGGGAAAAAAUUCCAGCAACUGUAUAUGCUUCAUUUGCAGGUGAAGAUUGAAUCAUAGAGCUAAGUGAUAACCAACAUAGUAUGCGUGAGACGUGGGGAUCCAGGCGUUCUAACACUCUGGAUUUUGAAUGGACAGUCAAGAAUCUGUUGAAGGUGAGAGAAGCAGGGCAGUUACCGCUGCGCUGCUAUAGCUGAAUCGAGAGAACUGUAGAUGCCUUUGAAGGAUUUGGCUGUCCGCUGCAGAGGCACCAGUAAGUCCAUGCUGCCUAGAUAAGGCCCUCGAACCUGUUAAUUUACAACCCGGAGCGGCGUUACCAUCUCCCACAAGUGCAGCACAAACAAGAUGGAGUAGAGAAUUCGCAGAGCUAAUUCCAUAAAUCAGUCACAUUCCUGCAAACUCUGAGAAGUUAGGAAGAACAAUUUGCUAGGUGCGAGUACUAUGAACAUUUAUCAACAUCGGAUUGUAAAACUCUAACUCUAUAAAGUGCGCUAUCAUGGCUAAACCAUGACUUGGAUAUAUAUAGAAUUAAUGUUACACAGUGAAUACGAACGAGGAGACGAAAUACAAUAUCUCUCUCUAAUUCUCGAUGAUCACGAGGCAGCAAGCAACUACACGGAGAUGGACAUCUGAGGACGAUGGACAGUUGUUCGGAUGUGGUCCGAGGCUGUAUCAAUCUGCUGGCGUCCCGGGUCUGGACAUAAGUUCAUACUCCUGUAACAACGAGCAAUAACUCAAGACAACAUCAAUCAACCGAUCGUUAAAGUGAAUCUCCGGCCCAAGAAAAACCGUGAGUACCCACCUGCGAGCAACACCCCUCCAAUUCUCCUUGACGCCAUGAAUUCUCCGCCACACCACUUCUCUCUAAAAUCUCUGCUCCAGCAGUGCACCAACCUUCAAACUUACCUAAUUGUGUACAGAAUCGGCUUCCAUAGACAAAUAUACAACGGAUCAGAGUCGUCGCACACUUUGGCUAGAGCGUGUACCAAUUGAGAUGGUGUAACCAAGUGUGCAGAGAGGCUCGAUCGACACUUAGAAGGGUACUGAAUUUAGGAUCCGUGUUGCCUCUGCUUUUAUGCUGGGAAUCGAUCAUAAAUUUGGUCGAGAAGAGGAUCUUCCAAAUUCCGAUCUUCGUCCCAAGGGAUCUUCCAAAUUCCCUAGGGACGGAGAUCGGGGUAUCCGUGCAUGUGGACACAUCGACAAGAGAAAACCACGUGGUCAUCGGAGAACACACUUGCCCCGAGUGGGUUUGUGAAUAGGCUCAAGGAAUUAUUAAUUUAAUCAAUUUUUGCGAUUGAUUGCAUCACCGCUUUACAGGACUGAUGGCAGGUACACGAUGACGAGUCAACAGGUCGAAUAGAGAGGAUAAGGAAUGAAAAGCAUUCCGAAAUUCUCAUCACCGCAAGGACACUACGCAUGCGCGACAAGAGGCGUCAUCGGCAUGCUUGAAACUAAAAUUCUUACGUCCUCGAAACUGGAGAAAUGGAAAAGAGCGAGGUACCAUCCCUUCUAACUCUAACCAUCUCUAGAAGUGCUUUCAGACCCGAAAGGGGUUUUGAGUCCCUAUGCAACGUCACUGCAAAGACAUCAUCAAGAUCGACUGAAUUUCACGGCUUCUUUGAGUGUGGCAUCACCAUAGAUCUGUAACCGUCAUGUACAAAUCAGACAGCACUAUGGUACCAUCACUGUGAGCUUUAUUAAUCUCGAAGCUACCACUCCAUGACAGGGAAUCGUCACCUUUCUUCAAUUCCAAAAUUUGGUACCAAGAUUCUCGAGGUCCGAAGAUGCAGUAUGCAGUCUUCGGGUUCGGGCUUGCGGGUUGCAGGUCUCAGAUUCAAGCUCAGAAUGGUCUUCCAUUCAAUUCUGCAUUUGAUUCUGGACUGAACAGAAAUUUCGAGGAUCUGUACUGGCUGCCCAGCACACUUGAAACGUGAACAGUCAGUCAAUUUCCUUGACCAAUUCCUGGAGUUUAAAUCAACAGGAGCAUAUGACAUGAGAUGCAAUGGGAUCACUUGCCUUCGCACACAAGAAUUUUGCGCUGCGGAGGGGAGUUGUGUAAGAGAUGAGAGGGAUAGCAAAAAGCUUCGUAAUCGCUUCUUUGCGAGAUGAAUGAUAGGAUAUGCUUGGUUGUGAAGUAAAAAGAGAGAUGAAUCCAAUGCUCCGGUUAAAUCCUUGGCUUCUCAAAAAAGCGUGAGGCUAUUGUUCUCCAGAGGUGAAAUUACUAGAAUACCUCUCGAACAAUGCAUUCUGAUAUAUAAUUUUGGAUGGUCAUACAUCAGAAAUGAUCCAUCAAUGCUGGAAGGUAAUAAAGUGUCAAGUCCUUCAAUCCUGACAAAAUGUUCGAUGGCCAAAUCUCUGUGACCUGGCAGUUCGGCGGAGCUUCCGAAAUGAAAAUCUUAUAAUAGCACCCUGGAAUUGUGGUGGAGCUCCACAAUGGCAUGAUCCUCUAUUAUUGAAUGGUUGAUACACUCGUGGAAUGCUGCGACAUUCGUUUGAGAGCUGCAGUGAGGCACUGCUACUUCAUCACUGGGGUUGUCAGUCGAGGUUAGGAUAAAGGAGUUUAAUUCGGUUUCGUUGACAGGUUGAUGCCACGCGAGGUUACAGAUUGGAACUCACGGGGGAUCCUUCAAGCAGUGCUGCUAUGAUGCUGUGCUAUACCUCGAUGAUCAGAAUCUAGUGGGUGAGAGCUGGUGGCAGGACCCGUCGAGGAACAUUAUCCUGGUUAGCCAGAAUUAUCACAAAGUCUUCGAUCUCAAUUUUGACUCUGAACUCUCUGUUUCCUCCGCUUGAUACUCGCUGUAGGACGCAGUACUUGUGACCUUCAAAUGCAAAUGGACUCUACAUCCAAAUGCUUCCGUCACACAAACUCUGUUUCAGUGUCGCAAUGCACUUCGCCAGAAACUCCGGCUGUCAAAGAUGAAAACCUGCGGUCAUCAACGACGAAACGCAUACGAAUAACAUCUAAAAAUAUCUCUGCCGAAAUAAUUCACUCUCGCCGAGUUUGAUUCACAGCCUCGAGACCGGAAUCGAAAAAUAUAUUAAAAAAUAAUAAUAUCAAAAAGAAUCUGUUCAUGACCUUCAUGAGUCGUCCUCUAAACUGCACGUCGAUAGACACUACAACGAUUAGUUAAAGUUUUUGCCUCGAGAAGACGAAGAUCUGCAGUGUGUUUUUUUCUGCGCAUUCUGAAGGGGAAGUUGAAAACUGAAGCACCGAACACUCAGCAAUAACAACUAGAUUAUCCCUUCACCGGAAGUUAUUAUAGCAAGCACGACGAUGCCCGGUUUAAAGACAAGUUAUCAACAGUAUCCCAUUCCAAAAAUUAUCUUAAAUUAUUUAUAAUAAUAAUAAUUAUAAUAAAAACAUAAGUUCUCCGAUUGUCGUAACGAUCCGGCGGUCGCAUGUUACCACGAGAGUUUCAUGUUCCUCGUAGAUUGACAUUAUCGCUCAGAUCUCGCAAUAAGACUCACCCACGCCAUUCUUGUUUUCAGGGAGGCGAUGGUCGCCGUGAACCCUAAAACACGUCUCCGAUGUGUUGUUGACUGCAAUUUCGCGACAUUCAUGAAUCGGCGUGUUUCUGCAAAAAUAUGUUGCAAAUUCUCAAAAGAAAAGCUUCAGUUCAGGUUGUCGGUGAAUUCGUCACUGUAUGUUUAUAGAAGAAUGAAAUUGUCAAUUACACAUAUCCCCAAUUUAAAAGUAAAAAAUAAUAAAUAUCUAUUUUUAAUAUCUCUAAAUUCUAAAAGAUGGCAAGUUGAUACUAAAAAGUUGGUGGUUCAAAUCCUAGAUAUAAAAUCCUUGAGCUUACUUAAUCUCUAAAGGACUAACCCAAGGACAACAACUCUUUUUAUAUUUAAAAAUAAGAAUAAAAAAUAGUAAUUGUUAUUCUUUUCUACUUUCUACUUAAGUUAAUGAAAAAUUUACUAAUAAUUUUAUUAUCAUUUUAUUUUAUUAAAGAAUGUUGUAUAAUGAUACUUAUAUUUAUAUCAUAUAAGUAUAAUGCUACUCUUUUUGCUUAUAAAAAUCAUAAGUCUAAAAUAAUGUUGUAUGAAAUAAGAAUAUAUUAUAUAUUAUAUCUUCUCUAUAAUUCUCUUUUCUAAGUAUUUUUUAAUUUUUUUAAAAAUAAUUAUAUAUAUUUUAAAAAUAUUCAAAUAAUAAAAUCUAAAAAAAAACUUGUAUUAUUUUUUAUUCAAAUUUAUGCAUAAUUUAUUUUUAUUUAUAAUUUUAUAUACUUAAUAAAGAUUAUAUAUUUAUAUUUAUAUAUAUAUAUUCUUGCUUUAUUCAUAAUAUUUAGUGACAAUCAUUUAAUUUCAUAUAUAUUCAAUAUUAUUUAUUUCAAUACUUUUUUUGAAACAUGAAGAUUAUAUGUUUAUAUAUUUUUUCUUUAGAUUAAUUAAUAUAUUACAUAUGUUUGUUAUUUUACAUGCAUAAAUUAUAAGUCUAUUUAAAAUUUGUAAAUUACAUCUUUUUUUACUCAAAGACCAUGUUCAACUUUGCAAUAUUAUGUUUCAUUUAUUAUCCUUAAUAUAAAAUAAUAAUAAUAAUAAUAAUAAUAAUAAAUUAAUUAUAUUUAGAUUUAAGAAUAUAACAUUUUAUUUUAUAAUACUCUUUUGUUAAAAAUGCCAAACUUUGAAUGUACAUUUAAUUGAGACUCAUUUCAAUGACUAAGCAAGUAUCAAGACUUAUAUGUAGCCCUUAUUUUCUUUGUUAAUUUUUCUAUUUAUCUAAAAAAAUAUUCUAUUAACUCACUAAUUUUUUGAUUUUAAGUACCAUAAGUAUAUUUAUUGUACUAACUUCAUAAGUGAAUUAAUUCCAUGAUUUACAUAUCACAACCAUUUGGAACAAUUUAAAGGAGCAAUGAAUCCAAAAUCUCUUACUAACUUGAUUUGUCUUAUCUAAAUUUAGCCACUUUUGGUUGUUAGUAAUUUAUUAAGACCAAAAAAGAGUGGUAGUAGUAAAAAAACCAAAUCAAUGUUUAUCUAAAGGAUUAUGGUUAGUGUUAAUUUUCUUCUAUCUUGUCAAGUCUAAUAUUUUUGAAAUAGAAGACUUUUUGAGAAGAUAGUUUAUUUUAUUAUGAAAAGGUGAAAUAAUUCUAUAAGAAGAAGAAAAAAAAAAUUAAGAAGGAUAUAAAAAUAAAAAGAAAAAGAAUUAAAAUAUUAAAAAAUUAAAAAAUUAAAAAUUAAUCUUAAAAGAUGAAAAGAAUCUAAAAGUUAAUAUCAUGAAUUCCUUCUUAUAAAAAGAAGAAUUAGAUUAGAAGUUGUAAAGGCCUACAUAUCAUCUAGGAAGCUUAGUUGGCUACUUUUUUGCUCUAAUACUAGCUCAUAGGAAUAGCUUACUAUAUAAACCGGAUUUAUACCUCAGCUAUUUCAUACAUAAUCAUUUUUUUUGGCUAGCCACUCAACAAUCCGAAGAUGCUCAAUUAUCCCAAGUUAUCUCAAAAUACUAUAAGUCAUAUUGGUUUUUUAUUUUAUUUUAUUUUAUUUUUGGUUCCUUCUUCAUAUUGAAUUUAAUUUAUCCCUCAGUGGAUAGAAGAGAUAAUAAUAAAGAACAACUAAUAACCAUUCAUAAAUUGUAUAUUGCCUUCUUCAUAAAUCUAAAUUCCAUUGGUUCUUGGUAAAAAUCAAUGUUGUUUAGAUUGUAUAUUUAGAUUUCUAUUUGAUUUAAGUAAUAAGAAUGAAAAUUAUUUUUUCCUAUAUAAUGAUUUUAUUUACAUUCUAUAUUCCUUAUAUCUAUUUCAUGAUGUUCGAAUUGGAAAAAAUUCACAAUUUAAUGUAUCAAAUGUAAAGAUUUUUUGUCAAAGACUUCCUAAGUGAUAUAAGGUCUUAACCAAAGAAUAUCAAAUCUUUUUAGGAAAUCCAUUCUUUGAGCAUCUUAUAACAACACUAGCAUUCUAAGUUGUAGGACUCUUUUUUUAUGUUUUUUUUAUCAAAAGUAAUUUUUCUUCUUCUUUGAAUUGCUUCUAUAUGUUGAAUCCUAGUCGUUUGAAUUUCAUUAAGGCCAUCCAAUAAUUCUAAUCUAUCUCUCAAGAAAUCAUAGAUAGUUAAUUUAUAACCUAUUGUUAUCAUGAAGGAAUUGACUUUAAAUUCUAUUGGUAAUAUUGCUUCUACUCCAUAUACUAAGAAAAAUGGUAUGGACAUAGUUGUGACCUUAUAUAUCAUACUUUAAGUCUAUAGAUCUAGUAACAAUUUUGGAUCCUAGUCUCUUUUAGAAUCUUGUACUAUUUUCUUUAAGAUAUUAAUCAAUAUUUGAUUCAUUCUUUUCAUAUAAUCAUUAAUUUGUAGCUGGUAAGGUGUAGUCAUAUGAUAGUUUAUAUUGAACAUUUCAAUCAUCUCUUCAAUCUCAUUAUUUAGAAAGUAUGUACCUCAAUCAUUAAUUAAGAUUUUAAAACAUCCAAAUUUAGUAAUAAUUUAUUUAUACAUAAAAUUUUCUAUAUAAAUUACAUCAUUAGUUUUGACAGCUUAUUUUAUUAAGUAUUUUGUCACAACUACAAUAUGCUUCAUACCUCUUGAAAUAUUGGUAUGAACUUCUUUUAUAUAGUUAAUUUUCUUUUUUUUAAAAAGAAAUAAAAGAUAUGUAGAAAGAGAGUACUAUUGAAACAUGAUCAGUCUAUUUUGAAAAUCUAAGUCUCUUUUUAUUCAUAAUUACAUAAAACCUCAUCAUAAAGUAGGAUAAAAUGGACUAGAACAAAACUGAAUAGAGCUAAACAAAAUAAGAUACAAAAGACAAAAUUGUGCAAAUAGAAAUAGAACAAAACAAAAUUAAACAAAAGGUGUAAAAUCAAACUUUACUAAAAAAAAAAAUACAAAGCCAUAUUUGAUCAGAUACUCCAAAAGGCCCAAGUUAGUCCUAUUUAUACAUGUUCUACUACCUUGGACUUUCUAGAAUAUUCCUAGAUGAUGGAUCUCAUUUGAAUAACCACCUUAAAUUCCUUCUAGAAGGUUCUAUGGUAGAUUCCACUUAUAUAAAUGUUUAAAGCCUUUUUUAAAAGGUUUCAUCGUAGAUUUCAUCUAAAUAAUCGCCCUAGGCUCUUUCUAGAGUGUUCUUUGGUGGAUCCUAUAUGAUCUACUAACCUAGUCUCAAUUCUAAAAACUUCUAUAAUUUCUCAAACAUAGUUCUAACUAUCUAUUUAUGUGUAUCAACAAUAUAAAUAUCUUAUUUAUACCCUGUUACAAUUAAUCCCUCUCUACUAAUACAAAAUAUCUUCAUUCUACUCUCAAUGGUAAUUCUAAAAUGUCUCUUGGCAAUAAGUGAGAUUUUGUACAGGUUUCCAUGUUGCAUUGUAGAUGGGAUAAUCUUUCUAAAGAACUUUGUACUGAAGUUAUGGAUGUUUAUUGCUAUGAUGAAGGUAGUAAUGCUCCAAAAUGAUAUACACUUCAUAUUCUUGUUAAUCAUCAAUCACAAUUGGUGGUGGUGGUGAUUGGUAUCAAUUCAAAAAGUACUUUGAUUUAGUAUAAAAUUCCUUCAAUUGCAAAACAUGAAAGAUUGGAUAGAUCCAAAUAUGUUGCAAAAGCUCAAGAUAAUAUGUGACAUAAAAAAUCAUUGCAAAAAUACAGAAAGGUCCAAGCUACCAAGGUGCUAAUUUAUGGAUUUAGAUUGAUGUAAUAAGUGGCAAGUUGGUAUUGGAAAGUAAUAUUUGAUUAUCUUUUCAAAAGUCUUGUAUUGCCAAUGGUUAUCUGCAUACUACUUCUAUGACUUUUGUGCAGCAAAGAGGCAAUAUUGUGCCUCUUAUAAGAUCGUUGCAAGUUGUUAUAUAAACUCUUUCAUUAUUAAAUUAUUGAUGUCAAUGGGAUGAUAAAGAGUUGUUAGUAUAAUCGGAUGUUCAUUGGUGUUGAGAAAAAUGGUGAAUGACCAAUACUUGCUUGAAUACUAUUAUUAUAAGCAAAUUCCAAAUGAUGAACUACCACAAAUAUUUGUAGUAUAUUUUCCAAAAUCCAAUUUGCAUGCUCUAUUUGUCCAUCUGUUUGGAGAUGGAAGGUUGUACAUAUGGCAAAUUAUGUGUCUAAUAGCUUGAACAAGACUUACUAAAAACUUCCUGUAAAGCAUGAUCCUGAUUUGAAAUGAUGACAUGAGGUAAUCCAUAGUGAAGAAAGAUAAUAUUGAAAAAGAUCCAAGCAAGUGUUUAGGCAUCAAUAUCCAAGUGCACUGUGGCCAAAUGAAGUUGCUUCAAGAAUUGAUCCACAAAGACAGCAACCGCGAUAUAAUUAUGAAGUGUUUGGAGCAAAUACGUAAUGAGAUCUAUAGUCACUUACUUCAAACGUGCCGUAGAUAAUAGAAUUGCCUGCAAUAGUCUAGAAGACACUAUAUUAUAUACUUAAAUAUGUUGACAUAAUUUGUAGGAGUAUACAAAAGCUCAAACAUCAUGAUCCAAACUUGCUUAAAAGUAUGUCUUUGAAAUUUAUUUUAGAGUCUUCUCUCACCAUAAAUAUCCAGAUAUUGAGAAAUCAUAUCCUUCUUGAAGUAUGUGCAUCUAGAUUAUAGUACUAUUAAGUACAUAAAUUCACUUCUUAAAAUAGAGUAAACCAUCACUAAGAUUGUAAUCUUGAUAUUGAGUAUUACUCACUUUCAGCCAAUAGCUAAUUAUCUUAAAAUAAGCAUCUCAAUAUAUAGCUUUUUUCCAUUCUACCUCUUUGGUUAGGUUUGAAUUGAUACUAUUAAUGAUAGAAAAUUCUACCUUAUUUUUCAAUUUGACCUUCAAGUCUGGUCUCCGUGAUAAGCUAUCUAGCAUAGUAUGUUAUUGCCUUUGCUUGUAUUCAAGCUAAAUAUCAAAAAGCUACAACUGCUCUUCCUAAUAAUGAUGUCGUGAUUUCAUAUUUUCUAAGUACAAAUCAUAUAGCAAGGAUUUUUGGUCAAUCCAAAUAACUAGUGGCUUCUCCAAUAAAUAAUAUUACCACAUCUUUAUCACAUGUAUAAUUGCUAAUUGUUUUUGAUCACAUACAAAAUAAUUGCGCUCUGCCUUUUUAAGAUUACAUUAUUCAUAUGCCACAAGUUUAAGGUCCCUACUAAAGUCUUGUUGAAUAAUUGCUCCAAUAGCAAAGUUAAAAGCAUCAAUGUCAAGUAUACAAAAAAGAUUGAGGUCAUACAAUUGCAAUAUUAGAGCAAUAAUGAGUACCUCUUUCAACCUAUGAAAGGAGCUUUCCUGCUCCAAUUUUCAUUCAAAUAGGGCAACCUUCUAUAAUGGUUUGUCAAUGAAGCAGCAAUGUAUGCAAAUUGUCAAACAAAAUGGUGAUAAUAUCCAACAAGGCCUAAAAAUAAGUAGACUUCAGAAGCAUCUUUGGGAGUUGGCCAAUCCUCCACUACUUUCACCUUAUGUUGCUCUAUGUGCAUGCCUUAAGAAGAUACUACAUGCUCCAAAAAUAUAACUUUUGACUUCUAAAGUUCACAUUUAGAUUGCUUGCAAUAGAAGUAACUAUUAUGUAGUUGGCGCAUCACUUUUCUUAAGUAUUGCUCAUACUUUGCAACGAUUUUAUUAUAUAUAAGGAUAUCAUCCAUAGAAACAACUAUAUACUUAUUCCAAAGAUCUUAAAAUAAUCUAUUCAUGUCACCUAUGAAAGAGGCUGGAGCAUUAGUGAGGCCUAAAGGCAAAACAAGCCAUUCAAAACGUCCAUGGCAAGUACAAAAUAUCGUCUUUUUAAUAUCCUUUCUUGCAAUAGGUAUUUUUCAAUAUCCACUUUGAAGAACUAAUUUAUUAAAGAUAGUUGCACCUCAAAGUUGGUCAAAAAGAUCAUCCAUGCAUAAAAGUGGAUAUGCAUUUUUAAUAGUCUACUUAUUGAAGAAUUGAUAAUUGAUGCAAAGCUGAAAUCCACCAUCUUUUUUGGAUACAAAUAGUACACGUACUCCCUACAAUGAUGUGCUUUCUCAAGUGAGGCCCUUCUUUAAGAGUUUGUCCAAUGUUUUUCAUAGCUCUUUUAAUUGAUUUGGUGCUAAGCAAUAAAUUGGCUAAUUUAUUAAUUUAGCUCUAAACAAUAGUUCUAUUUGAAAGGAGGCACCUCGAUUAAGAAAUAUGCCACUAAAUAGGUCCCUUGGAAAAUCAUCUUAAUAUUCUCGUAUGAAUUUCUCUAUCCAUUUUACUUCUUUGGUUGUUUUUUCUACUACUAAUACAAGAUUUGAAACCACCAUAUAGAUCGAUUGCUUAUGCUAUAUUUUUUUUUUCAUAAAGGUCAUCUCUAUGUGUAAAUCUUUAUUUUAGAUUGUUUUUUUUCUUUACUUGAUGUGGAGGUAUGAAGACUCAUCUUAAGUCUACCAUCUUUGAAAGAGAUUGUCCUUGCUAUCUAAUCAACUUGCUUAUUUUUCUCAUCUAGUCAUGACAUACCAAGGAUAACAUCAUAUCUUAGCUUUGUUACCUUGAAUCCCUCUCUUAAGAUAUACGUAUUAAUCAACCUCAAGAUUUUUUCUUUAUAUGUUUCAUUCAAUACAUUUUCUUUGUCAUUUGUAAGAUAUAUACUCAUUUCCUUGAUUUCCUUAGUUUUAAUCUCAAGUUGGUCAGCAAUUUCAAAUAAGAUGUAAUUUUUUGUAGAGCCACAAUCUACAAGCACUUGACAUGGUCGUCCUCUUAGUAGUCUCAUUAGAUGUACCAGUCAGCUCUUUUUAUAAUUAUUUGAGGCCAUGCCAUUUGUCUCUAAGAGACAAUAGUUAUUCCUAGUAUUAGCCCUCGACAUCUUUACUAGAUAGCCUCGUUUCUAUGCUCUAUCUCAUUAUUGACUUAGUAAAUCUUAAGAUUGUAAAAUCGCCUUAUUUUAUUGGUACUUAAAUUUUGAUGUUUUGAACAAACUUUAAUUUGAUGGCUUAGCUCUUAAUAGUAGAAAUCCAAUUCCUUUUGCACCAAUAUUUUUCAUCUUUUUGAUCUCAAUGAUCCUUGUAAGGCAUCAAUUUCCAUUGGUAUUGAUUGUUGUGCCAUAGUAUUAGACAGCGGCAUAGAACUUUGUGCUAUAGGUUGUACUCUAAAAUUUUUAAAAUCUGUAGCAUUAAUCCUCUCUACAAUCCUAAUUGCCUCUUCAAAUAUUUGUAGAUCCCUUAGUUCUACUUCUCAUUGGAUUCUGCGUUUCAAACCUUGUAGAAAUCAAUCAAUCAUCUUUGCCUCCAAAACAUUACCAAUUUGGAGAUAUAUGGACUUGUAUUGAGAGACGUAAUCUUGCAUAGACAUAGAUUGUGUAAGAUUUAUCAACUAAUUGCAUGCUAUCUUCUCCACAUUGAUGGGCCAAAAUUGAUUCUUAAACUCAGUCUCAAAUUCCUCCUAACCACAAAAUCCAUUUAAAGCUCUGUAAUUUUGAAUUCAAUGUUGCUACCAAAUAGUUGCCUCAUCUCGCAAAUAGCUAGUUGCAUAUAUAAUUCUUUCAGUAAUAUUUGCCUUAGAUAGUUAUAGAUAUUGUCGCAUGUUGAAGAGUCAUUGAUAUACAUCUUCUUGCCUUGAAGUUUCAGAGUAUGUACUUGGCUUAUUCAAUUUUAGCCUAAUAGAUGUUAAUUCUAUUAUUUUAAAGGCUUCUAUUUGUCCUUGCAAAGUAGCUAUUUAGACUAAAAGGUGUUGUAUUUGAGCCUCCAUUUGGGAUUGCUCUACCAUAUCUCUCAUCCUAUAAUUUUCCUAUGGACUUUACUUAUGUAAAUCCUUUUCACAUCUUACUUGAAUUUUUAAGAGUAGCUUAUAGUAGACUCAACACAAUAUCCAAUGUUACUAUAACAACUGAUCUUGAACUAGAUGAUGACUAUCAACACACUACCAAAGAAUAAUUUAACAUUUGCUCUGAUAUGAAUGAAAUAAGAUCAAUCUACUUUGAAAGUCCAAUACUCUUUUAAUCUACAAAUACAUAAAAUAUCAUAAUAAAAUAAGAUAAAAUGGAUCACAAAAAAAUUGAACAAAAUUAAAUAAAAUAAGAUAUAAAAGACAAAACUGUACAAAUAGAAACAAAUCAAAAUAGAACUAAAUAAGAAGGUACAAAAUUAAAUUGUACUAAGAUAGAAGGCCCAAAUCCAAACCUAAUUAGAUGCUCUAAAGGACCUUGACUAAUCCUAUUUAUACUUGUUCAACUACCCUAGACUUUCUAGAAUAUUUGUAGAUGAUGAAUUUCUUUUAAAUAAGGUCCCUAAAUUUCUUCUAGAAGGUUCUAUGGUAGAUUCUACCUAAAUAAUUGUCCUAGGAUUUUUCUAAAAUGGUCUAUGGUGGAUCCUAUAUGGUCUAUUAACCUAGCAUCAAUUUUAAAAACUUCCAUAACUUCUCAAACAUGGUUCCAACUAUAUAUUCAUAUAUAUCAACAAUAAAAAUAUCUUAUCUAUAUCCUAUUACAGCUAUAUAUAAAUUAUUUUUUAUAUAAAAUUGAUAAGUAUUACAUUUUUAAUAUAAUGAUAUGCAUCUUGGAACAAAAUAGGUCAAUAAUACCUUAUUUUUAUAGCCUUUGAAGUUGUCAAUCUACUUAAAAAGUAGCUUUAACAUGUAUUAUUAUUGCAUGCUACCAAUAUUGCUGAUAUUUUAUUAGCCACUAUACAUGAUUUGAUUAGACCAUUUAUUCUUUGAUAAUACAAUUGUUUUUCGAUAAUAGCAAAAUGAAUAGUAUUAAUUCUAAUUUUUUGAGAUUUAGUCAAGGACAUAAAUUGAAAGAAAAUGUAUAAAUUUGACAAAUCUAUAUCAAAAGAAAAGUGACAAAAAUAAAAAUAAAUAAAUAAAUAAAGAAAUAUUUAUAUUAAAAAAAAACUAAAAUGGCUAUUGCCAAAAGACAAAGAAACUAGAGAUUCUUAAAACUACACUAAAAAGAAAAAAAAAGAAUUCAUAAGAGUGAAGAUAGCUUUACUCUUACUUCUAUAUAUACUAUUUAUAUAGAAUCUAUGUGGCAAUGUCGUAUAAGCCCUCCAAAAAUGGAUUGACUUUACAUGAUAUAUAUCUUGACUUGCAAGGUAAGUUUUUUAUAUAGAUGCCAUAUAGUUAGAUUGUUUUGUAAGCUAUUAAUACUUAUGGUUGUCACAGAUAUAUAUAUUUAUCUCAAUAGUUACUUAUAUAAUUAAGUAGAAGUAGGUAAAUAUAGAAUAAUUUCAUAAAGUCUUCUAGAAAAGCUUCCUAAAAAAUUCAUAGACGUAGUUUUGACUUUAGAUGUAUUUAUAGGUUAGAAACUUGGCCAAAAAACUAACCAUAUAUUGGUAGCUUGUAGAACAAGUUAUCUUCGUAUAGUAGCUUGUGGAAGAAGCUAAUUACGUGGUGCAUACAUAGAUAACUUGCCUUGCAAGAUAAGACAUGUAGCUAGCAAUGUCAAUAUAUGUUGGAGGUCCUAUAGGACAUCACUAUGUAGCACUUAGUUAGAUAGUAUAUAUGGAGGCAAGAGUGAAGCCUUCUUCACUCUUAUCAAUGCCUUUCUAGUCUUAGUCUUGUUUCAAGACUUUCUAUUUUUUUAUUUUUUACAAUAGCUAUUCUAAUUAAUAUUACAUCACCUUUUGAAUGACUUUCUAGUUCUCUUCAGUGAUAGAAGAGUGUAUUGAGGAUUCUUUUUCUUUGUGAUUCAUGUCCUUGACAGUUUGGCAAGAGUGCUAACAUAUUAUUUUUGUCUUGUUUUAGAAGUGAGUGGAUUUUGAUGGAAUAAGAUAUAAAUUUCCAUGAUUUUUGUAACAAGUCAAACUCUAUUUAAUGUUGCAUCCUUUCCAAUAUCCUCAUGGAUUUAUCCAAGUCGGAUUUAUAGGUGCACUACUCUUAGAAAGUGCUCUCUCUUUAUUUGCACCUUUAAUGCAAAAAGAUUUAUAACUCCUUUGUGAUUUAAAUUCAUUCCUAGAAGUGUUUACGGCUACAUUCAGAAAAAGUGAUCAAGAAUGAGUAGCAGAGACCAAGCUUCUAUUCUUAUAGCAAGAAUCACGAUUAGCCACUACAUAUGCUGUCGAAUUCCAAAAUCUUAUUUGUGACGCAGACUAGAACAACAAAGCACUUAUCAACCAAUUUUGAUAUGGAUUAAAAGAUAGCGUCAAAGAUUUGUUAUUAAUAAUGAAGAAAGUAGAAUCUUUGAAAUAAUUUAUUACUCAAGCCAUUGCAUGCAAUAACUAUUUAUUUGAAAGGCAUCAAGAAGAAAGAUUUGGUUAGAGAAGAACAAGUCAAGUAAUGGUGGCAGCUCCCAAGGUUUCUGAAAGGUAUUUGUCAAAGCCAAAACCAAUGCAAUUUGAUAUGAUAUAUUUUAAACUUCCCAUGAAGCACAAAAAGACUCGACAUUGCCAAAAGGGGUUGUGUUUAUAUUGUGGAGAAGCUAAGCACACUACUCAAUAUUGUCCAAAGAAGUAAUGCAAUUAUAAAAUGAGGAGUACAAUUACCAAAGAAGAUAAUGUAUAAGAAAACAAAUUUUUCCAACUACAAUAGGGAUCUUGCAGCUAGAAUCAUGUCCAACACCUUGUAAAGGUCCUAUCCUCUCCUUAGACCCCUCACCUUCUUUUAUAAUAGAAAUAUAUUUAAGACCUAAUAAACACAAAGUCUUUGCCUUGUUAGAUUCAAGAGCCUCAGCAUGUUUUAUAGACAAAGAUUUUGCCAAAAAUCAAAAAAUACUUUUAGUGAAGAAAGUUAAAUCCGUACAUGUAGAAGUCAUAGAUGGUCGUUUGUUGUCUUUUGGAAAUAUUACCCAUAAAACUAUUCCUUUAGAUAUAGCAAUUAAAGAUCAUAACAGCGUAGUAGUAUUUAAUGUAAUAAAAUCUCCCUCUAAUUUGAUUAUUUUAAGAUUAUCAUGGCCAGAAAAAUAUAAUCCCCAAAUAGAUUGGAUUUCUUGUAACCAUAACUUUUCUGAUAGUAUAAUCCAAGAUCGCGUUAGUAAAGUAGAAGUACAUUGUCAUAUUAUAGGCUAUCUUACUUGAGAACGCACUGGGCAAUUGGCUGUGGAAGAUAAAACAAUGUUUUGCAAGUAUCCAAGUAGUCUAGUGGGUUUCAACCAUCUAAAUAUAAAUUAUUUUGGAUUUCAAUAUAAAGCUUAAUUUCAAUACAAAGUACUUUGAAAUACUAUUUUUAAUAAUUUCAAGCUAUUAUAAGUACAAAUUCUUUUGUUACUUUGUUAGUUUUUUUUUUUAUUAGUAUUAUUUUCUUCUUUUUUUAAUUUUUAAUUUUUAAACCCUUAUCCUAGACAGCGAGCUUUGGCAAGCUGUAAUUCUCAAUCUGAUUGUCUGAUUGUUGUAAAACUUCUAUUACUAGUAUCUUUACAAGUCUUCUAAAUACUCAAGAAGUUUCAAUCCAAUUUAAUUUAUAGAUUGCAAGAAAAUACUGUAAAUCCACACUGAUAUCCCUUGACCGCUGCCUAGAAAGUUGAUGACGAAUUUUGAAUUGUAAUUUCUCCUUCUUCAACUAUUAAUUCUCAUUCAAACUUUGUGUCCAGCUUUGUCUUUAAGUCCUCGACUUACCACGCUAAAAUUCAUCUUGUUCCAGCAAGUAGAUCUCUAGAUAUUGGAGAAACCUAAACAACCCCAAUUUGCUAACUUUUGAUACCUCUUUACACUAAUGAUCAAAUAUCUUCUAUCUGUACCGUUAGAUUAAUACAAAAUUUUGCAUGCACUUGGCAUACUCAACCAUUUAGAUACCUCUAAAAUUUCAACCACAGAUAUUUCUCCAAUUUUACAAAACACUCAAGAGUACUAGCCCUAACUUUAUUGCAAAAAAUCCAAAUCACCAAUACAAACACUGAUUUUGAACAAUGAUUGCAAAGCCUUUCCAAAUCCUAUGAAACUAAGUCUUACAUCUUUAGAAGGAGCUUAAAGCUAGCUCUCCAAUUCCAAAUCCCAAUCUUUAAAUUUCCCCCUACUUUGUCCUAAGCAACCAUUUUACUAGCUAGACAUCUAGUUUUGAUCCUGAUCCAUGCACGGUCGUCUCCUGGAUAUCAAUCCUACUUAUCCUAGAGGUUUUUCAGCACUUUCCUAUCUUCAACUUCACCUUAUAAUCUACCAUAUCAUUUUUUUUACUUCAUCUACCUUAUUUUUAAUAAUUUAUGUCCUUUCUAAAGUGAUAAAAUAGUUUCUACAAUCUAGAAAGAAAAUUUAAUGACAAGCUUUUAUCUACUAGCUAUCAAGACAAGAAAAUACUCUAAAAGCUUUUAUAAAGCCUUCGUAAAUUAUCUUGAGCUCUUAUCAACCAAGAUGAUUAAAUAUUAAUAAAAUCUUUUUCAUUUAUAUUUUUACCAUAUAGUUGUGUUACAACACGACGACGUAAGUUCAGUACGUCCAAACCUUUACUAGUAGAUGUAAAAGCUUUCAUGCAUGCUGCAAAAGAAAGAUCAUCUUUUGCUAUAUAUGCUACACCCAUUUCUAAUGGUGAAAUAAUGUCGAGUGGUAUUCCUAAGCAAUAUCAAGAAUUCCAAGAAGUUUUUGAAAAGAAGAACGUAGAUAUUUUCCCCAAGUAUUGACCUUAUGAUUAUUCAAUUGAUCUGCAAGAAAGAGAUCAACCACCAUUUGGACCAAUCUAUAGCUUAUCGCAGAAUGAGUUGGCUACAUUAAAGGAAUACAUUGAUGAGAAUUUGACAAAGAACUUCAUACGCCAUUCUAAAUCUUCAAUCGAGGCUCCUAUCUUAUUUGUGAAGAAGAAAGAGAGAUCUCUGCAAAUGUGUGUGGAUUAUUGAGUACUCAAUAAGUUCACCAUCAAAAAUAGGUAUCCUUUGCCUUUGAUUUCCAGACUUCUUGACCAACUCAAUCAAGCAAAGAUCUAUAUCAAAAUAGAUCUAUGAGGAGCAUACAACUUAGUUUGUAUCAAAGAACGAGAUGAAUAGAAGACUACUUUUCGAACUGGGUAUGGACAUUUUGAAUAUAAUGUCAUGCCUUUUGGACUCACGAAUGCACCGGUCGCUUUUCAACAUCUUAUGAAUGAUGUUUUUUGUGAGUUUUUAGAUGAUUUUAUUGUUUGUUAUUUAGACGACAUUCUAAUCUACUCUAAGAACACAAAAGAAUAUAAGCUUCAUGUUCGUCACAUGUUACAAAAACUUGAAGAUGCAAGAUUAUAUGCCAAGUUAGAAAAGUGUGUAUUCCACACUAUUCAAGUUGUCUUUUUAGGAUAUAUCAUUUUCAAUGAAGGCCUUAUUAUGGAUCCCAAGAAGGUUCAAACUAUCAUAGAUUAGAAGAUUCUAAGAAUAGUAUGAGAUGUGUAAUACUUUUUGGACUUUGCUAAUUACUAUCAAAUCUUCAUCAAGAAUUUUUCUCAAGUUGCAGCUCCACUUACACAUUUGACUUGUAAAGAUAAACUUGAGUAGAAUAAAGAAGCAGAAGCAUCAUUUGAUACUUUAAAGAAGAAAUUUAUUUUUGUAUCAAUCUUAUAUUGUGUUGACUUUUUUAAGGCAUUUUUUUAUAGAAACAUACAUGUCAGAUUUUGCUAUAGGUGUCAUGUUGUCACAAAUGGGAAUAGAUGACAAAUUCCACCUAAUAGUUUUCCAUUCGAGGAAAUUUUCACCAGGUUAGAUUAAUUAUGAGAUCCAUAAAAAAGAACUCUUUGCAAUCAUGGAUUCAUUUCAAGAAUGGCGUCAUUAUCUAGAAGGCAUCUCAAGUCCAGUUACCAUAUAUAGAAACCAUAAGAACCUCAAGUACUUCAUCUCAACACAUGUUUUGAACCGUUGUCAAGCUCGUUGGAGUAUGUCUUUAUCUAGUUUCAAUUUCAAGAUGACUUAUCAUCCCGAAAAAUAAUAAGGUCUAUUAGACACUCUUUCUAGAUAUUCUUAUCUUGCACCAAAAGAAAGAGAUGUAUCUUUUGAUCAACAAAGAUCAAUUCUCUUGAAGCUCGAGCAUUUUCAUCUUUGAGCUAUAAAAUCAACAUUGACUAUUGAUUCAAUAUUUGUGAAGCAAAUUCAAUCAAGCAUGUCUUCUGAUACUCUCAUUCAGGAUAUCAAGGAUACUUCUUCUAAGCCUCAUGAUACUUCCAAGUUUGAAUUCAAGAAUAAUCUAUUAUAUUUUAAAAGACGCCUAUAUGUUUCAGUAGGUGAAGCUUAAUUACAUGUUCUUCAAGCUCGUCAUGACUUUCUAGCAGCAAGACAUUUUGGAUACAAAAAAAAUUUGGAACUAAUAUCUAGGGAUUUUUGAUGGCCGCAAAUGUAGAAAGCACUCAAAGAUUUUGUACAAUCUUCAGAAUAUUUGCUCAACAUCAAAAACUCCUCGUCAUCGACCUUACGGACUUCUUCAGUCGUUAUUCAUUCUAAAACAACCAUGGUCUACUAUUUCUAUGGAUUUCAUUACGGAUCUUCCAAUCUCAAGUUCUUAUGACUCUAUAUUCAUAAUAGUAGAUCAUUUUACCAAGAUGACACAUUUUGUACCAUAUACAAAAUCUAUCACAUGUGAAGAAACAGCUAAGCUUUUCAUUGACAAUAUCUAUUGCUAUCAUGGAUUGCUAAAGGAUAUUAUAUCGGAUAGGAGGACUCAAUUUGUAUCAAGAUUCUGGAAAAUCCUAUUCAAGAUUCUAAAGGUAGAUAUAAAGCUUUCUUCGACUUUUCAUUGUCAAACUGAUGGACAAAUGGAAUGGAUAAAUCAAGUUUUGGAAAAGUAUUUGAGAUGUACCAUCAACUAUCAUCAAGAUGAUUGGACAACUCUUUUAUCAUUGACACAGUUUGCAUAUAAUAAUUCAGUACAUUCUUCCAUUCAACAAACACCUUUCUUUAUCAAUUAUGAUUAUCAUCCACAUCUUGAUACUUUUGACUUUUCAAAAGUUGAUAAUCUUGAGGCGGAAGAUUUAGUAAAUCACUUAUCAGAGCUACAUACAAGAAUAAAGAUACAAUUAAAGGAAGCUCAAGAAUGAUAAAAGACCAAUGCAGAUGCCUAUCACAAGGAGCAACCACAAUAUAAUAUGGAUGACAAGGUAUGAUUACUUUGUCAUAAUAUCAAGACUACUUGUCCUUGUGAUAAGUUAGAUAAUCGUAGGGUGGGACCAUUUCCUAUUUGUGAACAGAUUAAUCCUGUUGUCUAUCAAUUACAUCUAUCAAAGUCUAUGAAGAUCUACCCUGUAUUUCACGUGUCUCUUCUGGAGCUGUAUAAGACAGUGAAUAUCUUGGGAAGAAGACAAAUGUCACCUCUUCUUAUAGAAGUGGAUAAUAACUAAGAGUUUGAGGUGGAAGAAGUCUUGGACUCAAGGUGGCACCGAAAUAGGUUGAAAUAUCUUAUUCAUUGGCAUGGAUAUGAUAUUAGUGAAUGCACAUGGGAGCCAUCAAAGAAACUUACAAAUGCAACAAAGAAAGUUGAAGUCUUUCAUCAAUGACAUCCAUCAAAACCAAGAUGAAGAAUAGCAAACCUUUGCUAUAAAAGAAACAAGAUCAAAAAAAAAUAACAUUCUACCUUCUAUCUUUCAUUGUAACUUCUGUGUAUUUGUGAUGAAAUGGAGCACCAACAACCAGUAGAUUCAAUUCAAGAGCUUUCAUUUGCAGACUUACCAAAUGAGAUAUUGUGAUUGCUACAACCUUUAAGAUGAUAGAAUCGAGAUGAAGAUCCUCAAGAACAUGUCUUUCAUCGAAUAGAUGGUGAGAUACAACGUAUUUGGUAUCACGACCCCAUAAGAGACUCCCAAUGUUUAGUGAUUUUAUUAGAAGUAGGAACAACUCUUGAUGGUUUUUCAAUUGUUUUAUUUGAAGGAAGUUAUGAAGGCUUCAACAAUGACCAAAUAAUAGGGUGGUCUUCUUGUCCUAGUAUGGAACACUAUAGAUGGUUGAGAGGACCUAUCAACCAUCUUUGAAGAAAGCAAAGAUCGGAGUAUGUAGCAAAUACAAUUUGUCGCAUCUCGGAUUUCCUCAACAUAUGAAGACCGCUCCUUGUGGAACUCAUCCCUAAAAAGAGAAGUAAUGUCAUAGAUAUAUAUAUAUAUUUACCUCAAUAAUUACUUAUAUAAUUAAGUAGAAGUAGGUAAAUAUAGAAUAAUUUUAUAAAGUCUUCUAGAGAAGCUUCCUAAAAGCUUCAUAGAUGCAGUUUUGAUUUUAGAUGUGUUUGUAGGUUAGAAACUUUGCCAAAAAACUAACCAUGUAUUGGUAGCUUGUAGAACAAGUUAUCUUCGUAUAGUAGCUUGUGGAAGAAACUAAUUACGUGGUGCAUACAUAGAUAACUUGCCUUGCAAGAUAAGACAUGUAGCUAGCAAUGUCAAUACAUGUUGGAGGUCCUAUAAGACAUCACUAUGUAGCACUUAGUUAGAUAGUAUAUAUGGAGGCAAGAGUGAAGCCUUCUUCACUCUUAUCAAUGCCUUUCUAGUCUUAGUCUUGUUUCAAGACUUUUUAAUCUUCUUGUUUUUGACAAUAGCUAUUCUAUUUAAUAUUACAUGAUCUUUUGAGAGACUUUCUAGUUUUCUUCAGUGAUAGAAGAAUGUAUUGAGGAUUCUCUUUCUUUGAGAUUUAUUUUCUUGACAAUGGUACAUGGAUAGCUUGUUGACCAAGUUUCUAACCUAUCAAUUAACUACAAACAUAUGUAAUGUCAAAACAAUGUUGUAGAAGCUUCUAAGAAGCUUUUUUAGAAGGUAUUAUGAAAUUAACCUAUUUUUAUUUAAUUCUACAUAUUUAUAUUACCUAGCUAAAAAUUAUAGUAGAUAUAUAUAUCAGUGACAUUACCUCCCCUUCUGAAGGACAAGUUCUACAAGAAGCGGUGAUCAUACGUUGAGGAAGUCUAAGAUGCAAUGAAUUGUGUUUGCCACGUAGUCUAAUCUUUGUUUUCUUCAAAGGCAGUAGAUAGGUCCUCUCAACCAUUGGUAAUAUUUUAUUCUAGGGUAGGAAGGCCACUUUGUGAUUUGAUUAUUGUCGAAACCUUCAAAACCUCUUUCAAACAAAAUAUUUGUAAUACUAUUAGAAAUUGUGCCUAUCUCCAAUAAAAUCACCAAACAUCAAGAAUCUUUUUUUAAAUCAUGAUAUCAAACUCGUUAUAUCUUGCUAUCUAUUAUAGGAAGAACAUGUCAUUCUUAUAGGUCUUUAUCCAUAUUACAUUGACUUGAAGGCUGUGAUAAUUAUAAUAUCUCAUUUCAUAAGUAACCAAAUAAUGGCUCUUGAGUUAAAUCCAUUGGUUGUUGGCUUUUCAUCUCUUUAAUGCCACAAGUCAACAGAAACUAUAAAGAAGGAUAGAAGAUAGAAUGUAAUUUUUUCUAAAUCUUAUUUUUUUCUAAUAAAGACAUACUAUUCUUUAUCUUAAUUUUGAUGGAUGUUGUCAGUAAAAAGCUUCCAUUGUCUUUGAUGCAUUUUUAAGAUUCUUUGCUAGUUCUUAUGUGCAUUCACUAAUAUCAUAUUUAUACCAAUGGAUAAGAUAUUUCAUCUUAUUUCAAUGCCGCCUUGAGUCUAAAACUUCUUUAACUUCAAACUCUUCAUUAUUGUCGACUUCUAUAAGAUGAAGCGGCACUUGUCUUCUUCUUGAUAGGUUUACAGUCUUGUAUGAUUCAAGAAGAGAUAUGUGGAAUAUGGAAUAGAUUUUCAUUGAUUCCAAUAGAUGUAAUCAAUAAGCAAUUGGAUUGAUUUGUCCACAAACACGAAAAGAUCCAAGCUUGAGGUAGUUCAACUUAUCACAAGGAUAAGUAGACUUGAUAUUAUGACAAACUAAUCAUAUCUUGUUACUUAUGUUGGAUUAUAAUUGUUCUUUUCAAUAGGCAUCCACAAUAAUCUUUUAUUGUUCAUGAGCUUUCUUUAAUGGCACCUUUAUUAUUGCAUAUAGCUCUAACAAAAAAUUUGCCAAAUCUUUUCUUGCAAGAUUAUCCACUUUUGAAAAGUCAAAAGUAUUAAGUCAUGGAUGAUAACCAUAAUUGAUAAAAAAAAAAAGAUGUAUGUUGCAUAAAAGAAUACAUUGUAUUGUUAUAAGUAAACUAUGCCAAUGAUAAGAGGAUUUUCCAAUCGUCUUAUUGAUAAUUGAUAGUACACCUUAAAUAUUGCUUCAAAACUUGAUUUUCGUGCUUUGUCUGUCCUUCAAUUUGAGGAUGAAAGGCCCAAAAAAAUUUUGUAUCCACCUUUAGAAUCUUAAAAAGAAAUUUUUAAAAUCUUGAUAUAAAUUGAUUCUUUCUAUUUGAUAUAAUAUCUUUUAGAAAUCUAUGAUAUCAAUAGAUAUCAUCAAAGAAAAAUUUGAUAAUAUCUUCACCUUUGAUAGAUUUUAUAUAUGGUACAAAAUAUGCCAUUUUAGUAAAAUAAUUUACUAUCACAAAUAUAGAAUUUUACAAACUUUAAAUUAGAAGAUUUGUAAUAAAAUCCAUAGAAAAAGAAGACUAUGGUUGUUCUAGAAUAGAUAAUGGUUGAAGAAGUCUAUAAGGUUGAUGAUGAGGAGUUUUUGACCUUGAACAAAUAUUACAUAAUUGAAUAAAGUCUUUUACACCCUUCCACAUUUGUAGCCACCAAAAAUCUUUAGAUAUUAACUUCUAAGACUUAUUGUAUUUAAAAUGUCUUGUUGCUGGAAGGUCAUGACAAGCUUGAAGAACAUAUAAUCAUACUUCUCUUUCUGAAAUAUACAGGCAUCUUUUGAAGUAAAGUAGGUUGCUCUUGAAUUCAAACUUGAAAAUAUUAUGAGACUUAAAAGAAGUAUUCUUGAUAUCAUAAAUAAGAAGAUUAGAGGUUAUACUUGAUUGAAUUUGCUUGAAAAAAGUUGAAUCAACUGUCAAUGUUGAUUUCACUACUCAAAGCUAAAAUUAUUUUGGCUUCAAUAAAAUUAUCCUUUUUUUAUCAAAAGUUGCAUCUCCUUCUUUUAGUGCAAGAUAAAAACAUCUAGAAAAGACAUUAUAUAAUUUUUAUUUUUAUUUUUAUUUUUUACCGUUGAGUGAUAUUGAAUUUGAAGCUUAACAAAAAUAUAAUCUAAUAAGCCUAGCAAUAAUUCAAAACAUAUAUUGACAUGAAAUACUCCAAGUUCUUGUAAUCCAUAUAUAUAAUUAUUGAAUCGGAAGUGACUUGUAGAUAAUGAUGCCAUUCUUGAAAAAAAUUCAUAAUUGCAAGAAGUUCUUUACUAUGGAUCUCAUAGUUAAUCUUGGCUACUGAGAAUUUUUUGGAAUAGAAAGCUACUGGGUAGAACUUAUUAUCUUCUCUUAUUUGUGACAAAUAACAUACAUAGAAAAAUCUGAUGCAUUUGUUGCCAUUAAAAAAUACCUUCAAAAAAUUGACACAAUAUAAGAUUGGUACAAAAAUAAAUGCCAACUUCAAGGCUUCAAAAGAUGCUUCAGCUUCUUUCCUUCAAUCAAGUUUGUCUUUAUAUAUAAGACAUGUAAGAAGAAUCACAAUUUGAAAAAAAAAAUUGAUGAAGAUUUGAUAGUAAUUAGCAAAGACCAAAAAGUAUUACACAUUUCUUAUUGUUCUUGGAAUCUUUCAAUCUAUAAUGGUUUGAUCCUUCUUUGGAUCUAUCAUAAGUCUUUUAUUGGAAAUGAUACAUCCUAAGAAGUCAACUUGAAUAGUGUGGAAUACAUACUUUUUCAAUUUUGCAUAUAAUCCGACAUCCCUAAGUUUUUGUAACACACAACAAAUAUAAACUUCAUGUUCUUAUGUGUUCUUAGAAUGGAUUAAAAUGUUGUCAAAAUAAUAGACAAUAAAAUCACUUAGAAAUUCACAAAAGAAAUCAUUUAUAAGAUAUUGAAACUCAGUUUUGCAUUUGUAAGUCCAAAAAACAUGACAUUAUAUUCAAAAUAUCCAUACAUUAUUCAAAGUACAAUCUUCUAUUCAUCUCCUUCUUUAAUGCGGACCAAGUUGUACGCUCCUCAUAGAUUUAUUUUUGUAUAGAUCUUAGCUGAUUUAGUUGGUCUAAAAAUCUUGAUAUUAAGGAUAAAAGGUAUUUAUUCUUAAUGAUUAUCUUAUUUUGUCCUUGAUAAUCUAUGCAAAUUCUUAGUGAUUCAUCUUUAUUUUUCACAAAUAAGAUAAGAGCUCUAAUAAGGAAUUUUGAAUGGCAUAUAAAAUUCUUAGUCAAGUUUUCAUUAAUGUAUUUAUUGAGUUUAGUCAACUCAUUUUGUGAUAAACUAUAGAUUGGAUCAAAUAGUGGUUGAUUUCUUUCUUUAAGGUCAAUUAAGCAAUCAUAUGGACGAUGUUGUGAGAAAAUAUCUAUAUUUUUUUUCUCAAAACUAUCUUGAAAAUCUUAAUAUUAACUUAUAAUUCCACUUGAAGUCUUUUUAUUAUUAAAAAUAGGUGUGGCAUAAAUAAUAAAAUGUGAUUCUUCUUUUGCAGUAGGCAAGAAAGCUUUUGUACCUAUAAAUACGGAUUUGGCUAUAUUAGACUCAUGACUUUCCACAAAAAUCUUAACAAUGUUUUGAAGAAAGUCAAGUUUAUGAGAAAUCCAAUCUAUUAGAAGAUUAUAUGUUUCUAGCCAUAAUAAACCUAAAAUGUUGAGAUUAGAGAGAAAUCUAAUUAUAUUAAAAAUUAUGCAACUAUUAUGCCUAUUUAUUACUACAUCUAUAAGAAGUAUUUCAUGAGUAAUAUCUUCAAAAGAUAAUGCAUGGCCAUCUAUAACUUCUACAUGUACAAGUUUAGUUUUUUAUACUAAGAGUAUUCUAUGGCUUUAAACAAACUCUUCAUCUAAAAAAUAAGUUGAGGCUCCUGAAUCUAUUAAGGUAGAAGCUUUGUGAUGAUUAAGUCCUUAAUGUAUAUCUAUAGUAAAACAAAAAGAGGAUUCUAAGAAGAGAAUAGGACCUUUAUUUGUACAAGAUCAAGCCACAUGGUCCCUAUUAUAGCUAGACAAAUUUUUUUUUUAACAUUUUCUCAUCAUUGAUAAUUAUACUCGUCAUUUUAUAGUUGCGUCAUUUCUUUGGACACUAUUAUGUAAUGUUCUUAGUUUUUCCAUAAUAUAAACAUAAUCCUUCUUAACAAUAAUAAGUUUUUUCUUAUUUAGUAAGAGAUUAAAAACGUAUCGCAUCAAUUUGUUUGUCUUUUGCUUCAAAAUGUUUAGAUUGAAAAAUCACUAAUACUGUCAUUAAAUUUUAAUAACAUGGAGGUUUUCUUGUAUAAUUUUCAAAUUAAAACUCAAAAAUUCAAUUGCCACACUUCUUAGAAAAGUCAAUUGCUUGACUUAAUGUCUCGAGAUCAAGUUAUUUAAGCACCAAUUUCUUUACUUCAUAUUGUAAUCCAUAGAGAAAUUGGCUAAUAAAGGGAGCAUCAUGCUACUUGAAAUUAAUUGCUAAUUAUCAAAAUUGUAAAGCAUAUGAUGUCAUUGAUUGAUUAUCUUGUCGAAAGAUAUGGAUCUUAUUAAUUGGAACAUGAAUUGCAUCAUAUUCUCUAUACAUAGAUCAAAACUUUGCCAAAAAAGCCUUUAGAUUAUUUAAUAUUGGAUCUCAUUGUUCAAAAAAAGAUAAAAAUGAUGAUAAUACUAAACUUGAAAGAAGUAUAUCAAAAAAUCUAACUUGUGAUCUUAACGUUGAAUAGCUUUGAGGUUGGAGUUUAAUUACAAAUUAUACUUAAUUGAUAAAUCCUCAAAACUUAGAUCUUGUACCAUCAAACUUCUUAGAUAAGGUAAUUCUCCAUUCUUUAAUAUUAGAAGGAUGUUAUAUUAUAGGAAAAGGGAUGUGAUUUGAUAUAGAUGUGAAAGCACCUCCAAUCAUCUCUAUAUCUUCACUUCUUGCAAUUUUUAUUGCUCUUGAUGGUAAUAAACUAAGUUAAUGCAUUGCAAGCAUCAAUUCUUUCAAUUGCUUUUGAAUUUGUGCCAUUGUACUAUCUAUUUCAAGAGGUACUACUAUCAUAAUACUUAGAAAAAAAAAAUAUCUAAUAUUGCUCGAGACAAAUAGAAGAGAGGACUUGAGAACAAAGAGAAUAUUAAGAAUAAUAUUAUUUUAGAAGAGGAUAAUCUACAACUUCUAAUAUGCUUAUAUUUCAUAAAAAAAAAAUGAAUAAUCUACUUUUAAUCAAGAGAAGAUAAAGCUCUAAUAUUAUAAAUACAUUCUUGUCAAUCUGUUAAGAACAUGAAAUAAAAGAAGAUGCAUAAAUCUGAAAAAUCUAUGUCAAAAGAAAAGUGAAAAAAAUUUAAAAAAUAAAAAAUUAUGUAUAUUAAAAAGAAAAUGAAAUAACUAUUGUCAAAAGACAAAGAAAUUAGAGACUCUUGAAAUUAGAUUGGAAACAAAAAAAAAAAAUUGACAAGAGUGAAGAUGGCUUCACUCUUACUUCUAUAUAUACUAUCUACAUAGGAUCUAUGUGGCGAUGUCCUAUAAGACCUCCAAAAAUGUGUUGACUUUAAAUGACAUGUAUCUUGACUUACAAGGUAAGUUUUUUAUAUGGAUGCCAUAUAGUUAGCUUGUUCUCCAAGCUACCAAUAUGUGUGGCACAUGAAUAGCUUAUUGAUCAAAUUUCUAACCUAUCAAUUAACUACAAAUAUAUGUAAAGUCAAAACAAUGUUUAAGAAGCUUUUAGGAAGCUAUUUUGGAAGGUAUUAUGAAAUUAACCUAUUUUUAUUUAAUUCUACCUAUUAAUAUUAUCUAGCUAAUAAUUAUAGUAGAUAUAUAUUCAUGACAUAUUUAUACUUAAAAAAUCCUUUAAGAAAUUGUUGUGAAUUUAAAAAAUUUGUAAUAUGGUUGUAUCAAGUAAGAUGGAUAGAGACAGUAAAAAAGAGAUUCAUUUAUUAAGUUGUCAUCAAUAGAAAUAAGAAUUAAUUCUCUUUUUAAACUUGGAAUAUAAUCAGCCUAAUUAUAUAAUUUUUUAGGUUUAUAUUCUAUCUUAUAAUCAAUUUUUUCCAAUAAUAAUAUCCAUUGUGAUAUACAAUUACUUAAAUCUAUCUUAUUGACUAAAUACUUGAUAGCCAUAUGGUCAAUAAAAAUUACUACUAGAUUUAAAAAGAAAUAAUGAUAGAAUUUCUUUCACAAAAAAUACCAUGGCUAAGCAUUCUUUUUUUGUAAUACUAUAAUUUUUUUCUACCAUAUUUAAUCUUUUACUAGCAAAAGCUAUUGGAUAAUCUUUACAUCCACCUUUUAUAGAUUUUCAUAAUACAUUAUUUACUUCUUUGAAUAAAGUAUCAAAAUAAAUGAGAAAUAUAAGAUUUCAAUUUGAUGGUUUUAGUAUAAAGUAGGAAUAUUAAAACAAACAAGUAUUAAUGAAAGUAGAAUAAAUUACAUUGUAAAGGAUAUUAUCUUAGGUAAGUUGCUACUAGUCAAAGAAUUGGCUCUUGAUAGAUAUGAAAGCUAAGAAAUAAGAUAGAUGAAUAAAUAAAAUAUCUUAAAAAUAUAAAGAAUAUAUUAAAAAUAUAUUCUUAUAAUAGAUAAGAUAUCAAUAGAUAGUCUUAGUAGAAUAUUGAAUGGAUGUAUUCAUUAAAAGAUAGAAGUUGCCUAUUAAGGCAACAGCCACUACUUGUAAGCAAUGGAUGUUAGAAGUGAGAGAUAUCUUACUCCAUACUCUCUUUGUCAGUAAUCUUAGUGAUGUUAUGUUUUGUGACUUUAAAGUUCUUUUUUUUCAAUAGAAACUCAAUAUCUCUUUUAUCCAAUAAAAAUCUUGUUGAUACUUCCGUAUCCAUUUAAAUUUAACCAAUAUUUUUUAAGGUUGAUAAUCGAAAAUAUUUUUGUGGUAUAAAUAUGAAUUAAUUCUUGAUGCUAUGCAAGAUGUUUCAAGAUACUUUCAAUUUCUUUAUCAUUUGUAAAUAGUUUCUUUUUGGUUAUAUCUUCUAUUUUUUAGGUCGGAUUUUUUUCUUUCUUUGGACACUACAUAGUCCAACAAAACUCUCUUUUGUAGUGUAAAUAUAUUUUAUUGAAAUUUUAAAAAAUCGAUGUUCUCUAACAUCUUUUUAAAAUCUCCUUCAUAUGAUUUAAAUGAUCUUUAGUACUUGAUUAGAUACUAAAAUUAUCUAUAAAUAUCAUCAUAGAUUUGUAUAGAAAAUCCGAGAAUGGCUCUUUUGAAAAUAGAAGGAGCAUUACAAAAUCCAAAAGGCAUGAGUAUAAAAAUGAAGGUACUCCAAGGAGUGAUAAAAAUUAUUUUAUGGUAGUCAUUUAGUGCUGUAGUGAUUCAAUUAUAUUCCAAAUAAAAACUUAUAAAUAUAUAGAUUUUUUGAUUUACAACUUCAUCUAAAAUACUAUUAAUAAAGACAAGAAGAAAAUGGUCCUUUUGAAUGUAAUUGUUGAGUUAUCUAUAAUUUAUGCACACUCUUAACUUGCCAUUUUUUUUUUUUACAAGGACCUUAAGAAAGAUCCAAUUUAUUAUUUCUAUUAGUUUAAUAAAACCAAUUUGUAACAAGUUUAUUAAUUCUCCAUUUAUAAUUAGUUGGAGUUGAGGGUUUAUUUGCCUUUUUUUAAUUUCUUUAGAAUUAAAAAUGAAAGAAAUAUAGUAUUGAACCACUUUAAGUGGUAUAUCCUUUAAGUCUUUGUAUAACCAUGCUAACAUAUCUUAAUAUUUCAUGAUCAAAUCUCAAUAUUUAAAAAUAUCCAUUUCAUUUAAAUGAGCUUUAAUUUUAAGGUUUUGGACUCUUCUCCAUUGUGUGACACAUCUAUGAAUUUCUAUUCAAAUUCUCAUAUUAGAGAUUUUCCUUAAAAAUAUUUAUAUUAGUCAUUGAUUAUAGGAGGAUAAUUAAAAAUUAUAUAGCCAACCAUAAUUUUUGAUGAAAUAUUUUAAAAUUGAAGAAGUAGAACUAAGUUAUUAUUUCUUUUAAAGACUUCAAUUUUUUCUUUUAAGGUCUUAUCUAUAUUAAUGCUAAGGGCUUGGAUUUCCUCAACUUUUAUAAUUUUUAAUAUUUUUUCUUUAAAAAAAAUAAUUUAUAAUAAUCAAAAUUGGAAUUUGGAUUAUCAUUUAAUUAUUCUUUAAAUUUUUCAUCAUCAUGCCAAUGAUAAAGAUUGGGGCCUAAAAAUUCUAUUUUCUUUGAUUUUUGGUCAAUUAAAUUGAUUACAAUUGUUAAUUUGUCUUGUAUCUUAAAAUGUUCUUUAUCUUUUGAAAAAAUGAUGGAAUUAAUUUUUCUAUUAUCAAAGAUAGGUUGUAUAGAGAUUUUGGUUCUAUUCUUUCACAGGCCAAAAGUGAUGCGGGAUUUUUUUUCUUUUCCAAUUAAUUAAUACUUUUGAGUUCCUCAACCAUCAUCAACCUAGUAGUAAAAGAAAAUAAUACUUUGACAUAUGCAUUCAAAUAAUAUGAUAUGUCAAGAUAUAUUCUUCUCCAUUAAUCCAUAUUUUAAAACUUUUUAUUUGUUUGACUAAUAUAGAUGGGCUUUGAUUUGCCAUCUUAGUAACAAAAGGUCAAGGAAUAGUGAUGUUCAAUUCCAAUAUUUUUAUAGUUUAGAAAGGCAUAAUGUUCAAACUACUUCUACCAUUCAUAAUGAUAUAGGAAGUAAUUUUUUCUACAAUAGAAACUUUAAUUGCUAUUGCUUUCACAACACUUUGUUUAGUGUAUGCAUUUAUUUUUGUCACUAUCCUCAUCUUAGGCAUCUUUUGAUUUUUCAUUAGAAUCCAAGUUUUAAGCAUCUUUCUAAUCAUCAAAAAAAUUUCUAAUAGUUAAGUGAAGAUUAUAUUGGUCUUUAAUUUACUAAGGUGAAUCUAUAAAUCAUACUCUUGUGGGUUUGAUUCAUCCAAAUCUUUGUAUUGUUGAGGAAAUUGAAACAUAGGAAUUUAGGAACCUUUUCAACUCUAGUUAUUCAGGUUGGUAUUCAAUUCAUAUUCAAUCUUAGAAUUUUAAAAUAGUAAUUCUUCUAUUAAUAGAUCAAAUCUUACAAAUUUAAUAACAUUAUUAUAAGUUUCUUUAAUCAUGUCUCAAAAAACGUAUUUUAAUUAUUUUUUUUUUAAAAUGGACUAUUUGAGGUACUAGUCUCUUCCUCUUCAUGAAUAGAUAAGGUUGCAGCUUAGAAUCUAGUCAUGAUUGUGAGAACUGAUAUUAUAUGUAUAUUUUUUUUAAUUGAUUUUUUUUAAAAGUUAUUAGAUUUAAUUUUGAGAAGAAGACUUGAUUAACUAUAGUUUGUAAAGGAUUUUGAAUUUCUCUCAAAUCUCCCAUAGGUUGAGAUACAAAUCUCACAUUAUAAGAUCUUUGGUCAUACCAUGGUUGAUUAGAAGGAAUUUGACCUUCAUUUUAAUCCUAAUUAAGAUUAAGAGGAAUAUAUCAAAAAAAAAAUUGGAGCCCAUUAAAUGUCUUUAAGUUCUAUCUAUUGUUUUCAUAAUCAUAAUAUAAAUUUGGGGACCUCAAGUUGUUUUCUAAUAGAAGUUGUCUUGCUUUCCUAUGAUUAUUGUAUGAUUAUUGAAUGUAAUUACUAAGUUGAGGUUGUAAAAGACCUAUUCUAUUUAUUUUUUUGUAGAAUGUUGUGGGAUUAUUACCACUACAAUUUCCACAAUUUACUUGGUUCUUAAUCCAACACUGGCCAAAUGGUUGUCUUUUCGUGCAAAAUGCAUAGAAAUCCACUCAUUGUCUUCAUUGAUCUUUAUGAUCUUAAUUACUAGAAUUAUAUCAUUGUUGUCUCAAAUUAUAUCCUUAGAAAGAUUGAUUUUUAUGGAAGGAGAUAUAUAAGAUUGAGGGUGUUGAUUUUAAAAGGACAUAAGAUUGCAAAAUUAAGCCAAGUGCUUUAGUUAUCUACAACGAGUGUAUCAUAGACCUAUGGCAUGUCUUCAUAAUUCAAUAGAAGAAAGAAGAGGAUUGGGAUUAGAAUUUUUAGCUAAUCUAACUAAUUUUUCCAUCAUCAAUUUCUUUUGAUAAGAAAUUUGAUUUUGAAUAAAAAAAUGCUUUAGGAUAUUGUCCAUAAACAAGGUUCUUACAAAUCUUGUCACUACUAAUUCAAAAUGACCAAUAUAUGAGGUGAUGUCUUCAUUUUUUCCUUAUCUAAACGAAGAUAAAGCAAUUAAGGUUGUACUUUGUCCUACUUCAAGGCAAAAGUGCUCUAAAAAGGCCAUUUGUAACAUAUCUCAACUCAAAAAAGGUGUUGGGCAAAUGGCCCAUCUUUUAAUAUGGUUGAAAACCACACUAAAUAAUAAUAGUUGUCCAUUAUCAAACAAGUCAUGAGUAUUUCUAUGAAAUGCUCUAUGUGGAUUUAGAGAUACUCAUCUCUUGUAUCUUUAAAGAUGGAAAGGUAAGAAGGCAUGGACAAGAGCUUGGGCAGAAGAAGGGAGUUCUACAAGGAUGUCGAAAACCGCAAUAAGAGCUCUACGAGAGCAAGGCAGUUUGAUGGAUUAGUUGCAAGGGAGCAAAUAAAAAGAGUUGUAAUUCCCAGCUAGAUCUCUUGCUGGUGGAACUCCUUCUGUGGUACAAGCCAAUUGUCACGGUAGAACUAAGUGAUUAAUAAUUUCAGAUGUCUCUGAAACAUCCAAGGAGGAACUAGAUGUGAAAGACGAUGGCGGAGGGUGAUAUUCCAAGUGUGGCAGAAGCUCUAACCCAGAGCAGGGGUCGACGCGGUGCGAAGGGCGUAGAAAGAGGCGCUCACCAGGAGGGCCGAAGGAACCAUAAUUCAGGACUGGCUCGGACAAGGGGGCUCAAGUUGACCCUUGGUCAGCAGGUCCAGCGAGCGGUGCGGUUCAGGGAGACAGUCCACCGUGAGGCAGGGGAUAGGAGCCAAAGCUGCCGAGGACGUCGCGUCGGGUGGAACCGCAAAGGGGACGUGGACCCCAAGGCAUGGCAUGGGAUCCGCGAAUAUCGGGUCAGGGGCAAGCGGAUACGAGCCAGGAUCGAAGGCGAGGGUCGGGUCUGGGGCUCCUGCCAGGUCUGACGCGGCAGUAGUAGCCGAGGACGGGCCCUGGUCUUGAGCGGCUUCCAAAUGUGGUCCUGCAGUAGGGCGGGCAAGGUCGGGUAUCGCAACGGGUAGAGUAAGGUCGGAUAUUGCAACUGGUAGAGUGAGGUCGGGUAUUUCAACAGGUAGAGUAAGGUCGGGUAUUGCGGCUGGGAGGAAGGGGGGCACAUCCAGUGGAGUCCAUACUCCUCACAACAGAUACCAAAGUAGAUAAGGAAACUUGGGCCGCACAAUUAUCAGGAGGCUUUUAAUCACACACAGAUUGGUGAUAGAACAACGGUUGUAUUCCAGUUUCAAGAAUUGCCGAGGAGGUAGUAAUGUCGAGGGGGUGCGGAAUAGUCUCUUCCUGAAACACAACGUCUUGGGAAAUAAUCAUCUCACCAUUUAGUACUAUUUGAGGCUCAUAUGCCUUACUUUUGGUGUUAUAGCCAAGGAAGAUGCACUCUUGAGAUUGAGAAUCAAGCUUCACCCAUAGAACAUCAAGAAUCUUGGCAAAGCAUUUACUUUCAAAUAUGCAAAGAUGUGACAAAUUGGGCUUCUUAUUGCACCAAAGUUCAAAAGAAGUGAUGUUCCAUAGGAUUGCUUUUGUAGAUAUGUGGCACAAAUAAUAGGAAUUUUGUCUUUAUUAUCUUUUUUCAAACACUUUCUCUAAAUGUGGUUGUAAACACUUCUAAGAAUGAAUUUAGAUCAUAUAAGAAUUAUAAAUCAAUUUUAAUUAAAGAUACAAACUAAGGCAAAGUACUUCCAAAUAUGAAUGCAUCUAUAAAUCCAAUUUGAGUAAAUCUAUUAAGAUAUUUAGAAUGAUAUAAUUUUAGAUAGAGCUUGAUUUAUUGUAGAAAUUCUUGAAAUUUUGAUUUUAUUCCAUCAAACAACUCCAACAUAUUGAUCCUUGUCUCUCUCAUACUUGUAAUAACAAGUCUUUUUAGAUUCAAUUAUGAAAUUGAUCUUCUUGUUUUUUUCAACUAUGUAACUUCUUAGCAUAGACAUUAAACUUCAUUAUUGAAUUAUUUUGAAAGCAUAGGAAUAGUACAUCUAUUGUUGACAUUGGUAAUAUGUAAGAUUUCCAUCCUAAGAGUAUUGACAAACUCGUUAAGAUCUACAAUGGUUGCAAUUCUAUUCUCACUUCUCCCAAGUGUUGCAUUAAUAUUUUUUUCUUUUAUCUCUAUAAAAAAUAACUUUAAUAAAUCUACAAGUCAAAUUAGAGGAAGAUAAUUUGCAAUCUUCAAUAUCAAAUGAAAAUUUAUACAAAAAAAGAUACUUCAUUUUUUAUAAAAAAAGAAUUAACAUUAAAAAAUAAAAAAAUAUUAAUUUAAAGGUAGGUAGUUUCCAAUCUUUAAAGCACAAUAAGAAAAAAAAAGUAAAAUAAUCCACCUACUUUAAAAAAAAAACAAAAAUAUUAAAUUAGUACUAUUAUCAAACUAUUAAAGAUAUUAAUCACAAAGAACCAAAUGAUCAAUAUAUUCAUGUAUGACAAGAAAAGAGUAAAUAAUUAUUCAAAAAUGGUAUAAUAUUAAGACUAGAAUGGCUAUUGCUAAAGAUAAGAAAACUAGAGACUCUUCAAACCAAACUAAGAACAAAAAAAACAUUGACAAGAGUGCGAAAGGCUUCACUCUUGCCUCUAUAUAUAUAUUAUUUAAUUACGAAUUAUAUAACAACAUUUUAUAGGACCUCCAACAUGUGAUCAACUCAUUGAACAUGUCUCUAACUUAUAAGACAAGUUUCUUACAUAUGUGCUAUAUAGCCAACUUGUACCAUAAGUCACAAACAUGUGUAAUACAUAGCCAACUUGUUGGCCAAGUUUUCAACUUAUCAAUCACUUAUAAACAUGUAAAAAAAUCAAAUUCAUGUCUAUAAAGCUCUUAAGAAGCUUUUCCAUAAGAUAUUAUCAAAUUUCCUUAAUUCUAUAUAAUUUUUUUAAUCUACUUAAAUAUGUACAUCCAUGACAUUUUAUUAUUCCUUUAAAUACAAGGAAGAAAAAUCAAUCAAUUAUAAAAAGAGGUGAUAAAAUUAUUUGGCACAAUAUAUAGCAAUAUUAAUAGAUAUUAUUUAUCUUCAAACUCAAAGAUUUUUACAAAUUAUCUUAUUUUUAAAUUUGGAAGAUCUAAAAAAAUUAAAAGAAGUUUAAAUAAUAUCAUUAGAAGUCAUUAUCAAAGAUAUGAAUUUAAGAAAAACUUAAGAAAUAACAUAUACAUUUAUUAUUGGAAUUGAAAGAAAGUAAUAAGAUAAGAUAUAUAUAUAUAUAUAUAUAUAUAUAUAUAUGAAAAAUAAAUAAAUAAAUAAAUAAAUAAAAUCCUAAAAUCCUAAAAUAUCUAGUGCCAAAAAUAAAAAUUCUAGAAAGUCUUUAACUUAGACUAAAAUAGAAGAAAAAUAUUGUCAUUAAAGAUGGUUGCACUUUUAUCUCCAUAUAUAUUAACUAUCAACAAAGCCUUAUAGAAGCUUCUUAAGAAUCAUAAGACUUGUGGCCUAAGAUUUAAGUUUAAAUUGCUUUCAAUACUUCUUCUUAAAAGUAAGUGACUUAUGGAAUAAGUUUUAAUAGCCAUGUGGCAUAUCUAUAGGAAUUAGAAGAUUUAAUAUGUGUCCAAGAAAUGUCCUCUUUUUACAUCUAUUUACUUCUAUUUACAAAAACAAUAUAGAUUUUAUUAAUAUUUAUUAAAUAUUAUUUAAAUAAUAUCAACUUGUUGAAUUUUUAUCAUAUUUGUGAGCAUCAAAAAAACAUAUGUAGGAUUUUACUAAUAAAAUUACUAAGUGUUGAGCUUACCACUUAAAUACCAAAUUUGUUAGUUAUUGUUGUUUUUUAUAAAAAUGUGUAUCUAAAUUAUUGAUCAUUAAAGCAUUAAUAACAUUAAACCCUCUCUAAAAAGAGUGGAACCUAUAGAGGGAUUUUUUUAAAGCAUGUGCUAGAUAGAUAGGAUUGCAUUUGAUGAUUGAACAAUGAAUACAUACACACAUUUAUUGCCUUGACAAAACAAAAAAUAAGAAAGUGCUUAUUACUCUAAGUGUCUUCUACACAACAAGGUGUUGGAUGAAAUAAUCAGUGAAUAAUUACGGUUUGAUGGGACCUUGUGUUGAAAAUAAGACCACUUCAACAAUCUUGUGCAGUUUGUUACGUUGUAAUUGUUUGCCAUUUCCCUUCAAAAGCUGCUCCUUAUGCUAUGACCACAACUUAGAAGUGUCCAGGAAUGGUUACUUCAAAGGGCGGACAUUUUACAUUUUGAUAAGCUGCUCCUUAAGCUAUGAAGACAACUUGGAAGUGUCCAGGAAUCGUUACUUCAAAGGGCGGCCAUUUUACAUUUUGAUUAGAUUACAUGCAAAUGAGAGACAUUUAAACCACCUACUGCAUCUAUGGUCAUUGGUAGUAAUCAAAGCACCUCACACUUGCCCCAAUGCUUGAUUGAGCAAAAUGAUUGCUUGGACUAAUAAUUUACAUAAACUGAAGGCUAUGUAGCAACUUGAUCUUGCUUUAUCUUCCAGAGUAUUCAAAAGAAUGCCUAUUGUACAAAUCUAACUCUAUCAUGCAAUUAUACAAUGCUCAACAUAGAGAGGAGCUUUUGUUUUUCUUCAGCCCGCUUCCAAAUUUCCCGGUUCCGUUUCCGCCUCCUGUAUCUGGUCCGUCCAUUUAACCACCUGGUAUAACUACGACCUUGCUUGCAAACAAUAAAAUCAUUCAAGUCAUCGUAAUUCUCCUUGCUAGAAGUCUUUUCAAGCAGUAACACCUCUGCCACGUAUGAGUUGCCCUCAGCCCCAGUGGGAAUGUCUGAGGUCUCAUCCUCUGCCAUUCGUCUACAUUUGCGCACUGGCCUAAGUUUGGGAGUUUCCUCUUCACCUUCUAAUACAAGUUUCCUAAAAGAAGCAAAUAAAUAGCUGAUUAAAAGACAACAUUAGAGAUCUUUCACAGGACAAAAAAAAAGUCUCUGAAUACCAAAACUCACCUACCACCACAUAGCUCGAAGCCGGAUCAAUACAUGCUCUAAAGCAUUCUCACUAGACCACCUCACUACCAGCUUUACGUUGGAGCUCUCAGCUUUGUCACUCGAAGGCAUAAAUCGGUUUUCGAAACCCAGAAGAAUCCAACACAAUACAAUUAAAACUACCUUCUUAUGAUUAAGGAGAGAUUAGUGCAACUCUUUUGAAUUCCAACUAUGGCAUUUUCAUAAAUACAUUACAAAACCAACAGUCAACGAAACAGACCGGUGGAGCGAAUGCAUCAGCUCAGAGUUGGAUGCAAGUACUGCUAAGAACUAACCUCUGUGGAGAAGCGUCACUGGACUUUGCCGAACGGAUUCGAUGUUUCAUCAACCUUUUAAGGAUUGGUAAUGUUGAAGGCCGCAGCUGCUGUUUUUCCAAGCCAAGGUGUGCAGAGCAUGGCUGAUGCUCUGAAGAUUCUCUCUCUUCAUUUGGAUGUAAUUGCUUUUCAACGUUUACAGAACGUGAAUGAUUAUGCUGCGCAGGUUCCCUCUCCAUACCUGGACUCUGCUGCUCAUCAAUGUUUCUACCACAGAGCUGAUGUUUCGAAGGUUCUCGCUUCUCCUCUGGACUUGGUGACCCUUUAAAGAUAUGCAUGUCAUGUUCAAGAUCAGCCGCCCAUGCGUUCCUGGAAGACAGAUUCAAACAACACAAUCAGACACGUAACAAUAAAGAAUAAAGAAUCAAGGUUGAAAUUAAGGAUUACAUUCUCAGAUAGGACAAACAUCAAUCAAUUCAUAUUUUCUCCUUGCAGGCUUCAAUCUCGAUCAAAUAUAGAAACCUUCAAGAUAAAAAUUGUAAAAGGGAUAAUGAAAGGCACCUAUCAACUUCAUCAACCUCUCUUUGCACCACCUCUGGUCCUUUUAUCAAAUCACGCCUCCCAUUUGCGGGGAGAUAUUCUCGCCAGGCAUUUGUAGACAGUACAUUGUCCAUGAACUCACAAAAAUCGUUGAGAAAAAAAUUGAUUUGAUAAAUGAUCGAAACAGCAUUUCCACCCAACAUCUGCAACAGAGAAGCGAAGAGUCAAAGCUCGGAACUUCAGCAUCUUCGGGUUCACUAUAACUCCUUGACAUAUUCCUACAGGUAGAAGGUUUUCACAAUAAAUUCUAGGAUGAGUGUCUUACACAAAGGGUCACUACUUCGCUAAGAGCACGGCGCUAUUCACUGAGAAUAGUAACAAUAUAUUUCAAGACGCUGUCACUGAUAUAAUCACUCCCUUCACCGCAAUCGCGCCAUGCCAAGAAAUAGUUUGCAACGAGAUAGUAAAAUUACCUCCAGAAGUUGUGGUUCUUCAAGAAACUUCUGCAAUGAACUGACAACCUUGCUAGCAUAGCAACUCGGUGAUAUUGAUUCCUGUGCUUCUCUACUGCAUGAGUCCACAUCCAUUGUUCCAUUUUGUCCAAACAUGUCGUCAACAGGUAGAGAGAAUGACCUGUUUUUUCUCCAUGUAUGCUCCAAAAGCAACGAAAUCGUCAAUGAUUCCAAUAACUCUAAGUACUCUCGCAACUUCUUGUCAGAAAUAGACUUUUUAGCUUCAUAGUACAACAUGUCUGUGAAAAACACUAUCACAUGGCCCACACUGUCCGCAGCUGUGAUGUCCCUAGCAAACGGCAGACAUUGAUGGAAAGAACCAAUGAGACCUAACCAAAUAUUAUCAAUAUCGUCUCUGGUCAUAUCGGCUGCGAGGUUAUCUUGAAAACUUUCCCCAACUAAUCGCACUUUUCCUGUUAUGAAAUUUAGAGCAGAGUGCAUCAAAUGCAGUACAUCAGAAAUCAAUGUCGACUGAUCUUCUUCCCAAACAGGUACAUUACAAAGCUCUCUUCCACAGAAAUAAGUCCCAGAUGACCGUUCAAUGUUGCUAUUAGGAUACAAGACCUGAUGAACAAGAUCAGCCUCUUGUCCUAGUCCUUGCAUAUGGCGAUGAUCAUGACAAUAAGUCUGGUCCAUGGACUCCUCAAGUCCUUUCCGCAGAGUAGCGUCAUUCAACAUUGAUUCCAAAGCAGACUCGCACUCUUGGCUCAUUUGACCCCGAUGGCACACAUAUUUCCAAAGACAUGAGGCUAAUACUGUAUUUGAUACGGCACCAGAUGGCAACUGACCAUCAUCCAAACAUCUUCCCAAGUUUGCCAGGUGAGGUGCAGAUGCGAAUUUCAUAUAUAGUGAGACGCCUCUCUCAAGAACUGAAUAAACAAGCCAGAUAUUAACUUGCCAGCUGUUCGAAUGCGGUGAAAAACACGUAUUAAUUUUGUCACUCGCUGCCUCAUUAGAAUGCCCUGCGAUUGGAAAUCGGGAGAACCACUUCUUUCGGUUCUUUUGGAACUCCUGUUCCAGCUUCACCGAAGAAUGAGAGCUAUCAGAAAUGCACGCUGAACCUUGCAAAGCUCGGGAUACUGUUCUGACAACAUGUGACAGUAAAUAUCGUGGCACAUUGUCAGUAAUAACUCUGUCAAGUAACUUCACCGCCGACUGCAAGCUUAGCUCGCAGACUCGAGCUCUUAAAUCAUGCAGUUCUUCAGGCCCAUGAGCAGAUAUCAUCACAUGCGCAAGUGUAGCCUCCAGUAUGAGCCGAGAUGUACUGGGAUCUCCCAACUCAAGCUUCGUAUCUUGUACUAGAACCAAUUGAGUCUUAGAAUAACACGACAGCUCGUCGAUAAACACCUAUAAAGACAAAUAUCUCAAUGAGGUUCAGACAAAACAAAAAAAGUAAUUUUUUUAUCAAGGAUUUCAUCAGUUGAAGUUCUUAAACCUCGCAUAAACAAAGAUGUUGCAUUUUUAAGCUAAGUUCUCACAACAACUCACUCAUGAAAUUCUAAUUCCAGCAACCGAUAAGUGAUCGAAUUCUUCAUCUGAAAUAAGCAGAUAACCAUGUCUGCAACCAGUCGCACUUUACAAGAAGAAAACUAAGUAAAUCGUUUGGGCAUAACAGUACCUCCAGCAGGGCACAAAGCGUAGGGGCUCUGUGAGGGUCAAUGUUAGAAGCUGCCCUUUGUAAAGCAAAAGCAUUUUUGGAAAGCAAGCACGGUUCUCUAGGUGAACCGAUCUUCUGUAAUAGAUUAUUCAGGCCCAUCCCCAUGACAUUUCGUAAGCCAGUGUCGAAAAGUUCCAUCAGAGGCAGCAGCCUUAUGCAGCAACGUAAGGUUAGAGCAGUCACUUUAAGUUCUAGAAGAGUCGGAGGGAAAACGAAGUGUAUUUCACCAAACUUAUCAUCCUUCGCAGAAAAGAGAGGAACAUGACGACCGACCUCUCGAAGGAGGUAGUUAUGCAAGGCCACUAGAUCAUCGUAAAUGAUAUAAACUUCUGUCUCUCCUACGACGGCUGACAACAUAAUAUCUUCAUUUGAUCCCAACGGUGGAUACUUGAACGUUGCUGCAGAAGAAGACAGAAAGUAGUAGAGGUAUUUGAGAAUAUCAGCCUUGAUUUCCUCCUGAGAGUCAUGACCACAAAUCAGCGUGGGAAACAACUUGUGACAUCGGAGAGCGAAAAAAACAAACUAGUCUAACCAAAAACAAUCUAUCAAGACUCUCCACUUCAGCGAGUGCGACAAGUGCAAAUAAUGACUCCCAAACAAUCCCACACGCACGCGAAAAAACAGAAAAAGAAAAAGAAAUGGGACGACAAAAAACUGCCGAUUAAUAUUCAAGAAUUACUCUGCUAUUUCUGUUGUUCCCACAUACGAGUUUGUCGUAUUAAGUAUGCAUACCAGUUCCACGACACCUAAAACGUCGACAAAUUUCCCCACUGAUGUCCACUUCUCGCAGUCACAACGUGAUGAAACCUUCCCCUCGACGCAUUCUGUCAAACACGUCGUAUGAGGCCGCAAUAUACAAAUCCCUUCUUUAUCCAACCCCAUCCUCCCUCCCGCACGACUACAGAGGAAUUCGAUGAAACUACAUUGUCCUGCACAUUUUCAUUUCACACAAACUGAGCUCGUCACAUUUUCCAAACCCUAGAACCUUCACAAAAAACCAAGGCGGACGCAACCAAACAACGGUCUACAUUUGGAUGGAAUAUAAAGCAGAAAAACAAUUAUACAAACAGAACUCACUAACUCGAAUGCACAGUCUUAAUGGCAACCAGGGAAACACUCUGGACACGAGCAUGCUCGAAGAAAUGGCGGAUCCCAAACUGUACACUGCAAGAUUAUUCACUCAAACUCAUGCAAAAGCAGUCAUUGGCAAACAGAGCGAUGAAUACACCAAUCCAUCUUGAGGCAACUUACAAAUUUCCUCGGGUGUUGCGAGGUCGAUGACCACGUUAGGCAGUAGUAGCAACAGCAGACGCCAUAGUUUCGAGGUAGGACUCCAAUCCACACCGCGAGCGCAGGAAUGAGGAAAACGAAACCCGGACUCCGAAAAAAGUAAUAAAUAUCAAAAAAUUAAAAACACACAAAAGCACGGAAAGCACAAAACCACAACACAACCACUGCAGACGGCUGCUGCAGCAGAUGGUCAAUUGCAAGCCUGCGAAGCUCGUUCGUUUGUCAGCCAGGAGCGAAAUCCAAGCAAUGCGAGCAGAACACACUCUUCGGACAAGACAAGACUCGAAUACAGGGAUUCACGGCCAGUUUCGCCAUCGACAACGACCACAGGGUUCGCAAUCCGCACGUAUUGACAAUAAAUAAUUUUCGAUAGCCUCUCAGUUGAUUUCCCGUUCCAUCUGUAGAAGGAAACUCAGGUGCAUGUAGCACUAGGUGUAAAUAUAUAAAACCAACACCCUUGAAGCUUGCGUGUAUUAAAUCCACAAAAUUGUGCUGAUUAGCAGUUAACAAGAAUUAUAGCAAUAAAGAAAUUUUCCUAAUUAUUUAAUAAAUAAAUUAUGUUGACUAAAUAUCUCAUGCAAACUUUCAAACCUGUAAUUUAGAACAUAAUCAAUAAAUUUUAGAUUUUCAAACACAGUAAAAUAAUUAUAUUUGAUUAAACUAGCAAUAUUAUUGAAAAAACUAUUUUGAAUCACUCGCUUCAAAAACAAAUAUCAAGCUAGAUACUAAUUAUGCACAAUUAUCACAUAUUAUAAUUUAAAUUAAUUAUGUACAAUUUUUUAUUAUAUAUAUAUAUAUAUAUAUAUAUAUAUAUAUAUAUUUACACACACACACUAGUGGAAACCCAUACAGUUGGCCACAAAAAAGUUGUAAAAUCUCAAUUUGUGGUUGCUAAGUCAAAAAUUGAUCACUCCUAAAAAAAAAUAAAAGAAAAAAAAGUACAAGAAAAUAAUAUAAAAAAAACAUUUAUAUAAAAAUAGAAUAAUUAACAUUUCUUCAUCUUAAUUUAUAAACAUAUAUUUUUAUAUUUCAUAUAAAAAACAACUAAAAUAAUUAAGUUAUAAAAACUUUCGGAUAAACUACAUUUAUAGUGGUAUUUUUGUCUUCAUUAUUUUCAAGAUAUAAGAUCGUGAUCAUGUUUAGAGAAAUGUAUUGUAAUAGGGCAAUAGACAACUAUCCACAUACAAAUACUAGGGUUCUAAGAUCUAUUCCUACAUUCUUCAACAAAUAGCCUUAAGAUUUAUUAAUGGUCAUUGUAAAUCCCACCUUUAUUGAAAAAUAUCUUUGUUGCAACUUGAACGAAAUCUCUACAGAUGGUAGAUAUAAUGUAAUCCUUGAAAGAAAAGCCAACUAUUUUUUGUAGUCUCCAAAUAAAAAUCUUAUUUCUAUAACUCAAUUAAUUAGUUGAUUAAUGACUAAGCAUUAUCUAUUGUAAAGUCUUUGAUAUGGAGCAAUGUUUUGCAAGAACAUAAUAAGACAUAUAAUGUAGAGUUCCAAGCUAAAUAGUGGCAAUCCAAAUGGAUUUAAACUAUUCAAAUAUUUUGUUGGAUAAUAAUUACCAUUAUUGAUACCAUCUUUCAUAAUUGAUAUAUUUGCAGUGACAUAAAUAUGUGAAACUCCAAGAAGCCUUUUCAUUGCAUGCUUAUUUAAAUUAUCAACAUCAAUUUUGAGUAGAUAAAAUAGACUUAUAAGUGAAACAAUCAUUUCUAAAUAUCCCAUUAUUAUCCAAUCUCAAAUGAACAAUUUGAAUCAAAUCAUUCAAUGUUGAACCUACUUUCAUAUGUUUUAGAAGAAUCACAAUACUUUUCAAUGGAUCUAUAAUUAUUGAUCUAUUUCUAAUUUUAAAAUAGAAAUAUUAGUAAAUAUAUUAAAUAUAAAUAUUAUAUCAUAAAGAAAUUUUUAAAAUAAUAAUCUUAUAUAAUGCAUACUUUCAAAAGCUCUUUAGCAAAUAAUUGAUUUCUAUUAGAUACACCUUCAAGAUACGUGUUUUUGGUCAACUUGCAUAUUUUAAUAUUAGACCAAAUAUUUGAUUGUUGUAAAGAAGCAUCAUCAAUCUCGUCUCUUAAGCAUUUAACAACAACAAGAAGAAUUUGCCAAAAAUCUCUAUUGAAAAUUAUAGUAAUUCCACCAAAUAAUUUAUUAGUAUCAUUUAUGUCUUAGAGAGUUCUAUCAACUAUAUCAAUUUAAUAGUGAUGUUGCAUAGGCAACUCAUUUCAAAUAAUAAGAACUAUCUUUUUUAGUACAUCUACAUAUGGUAUAUUCUUUGCAAUAUUGCAAAAUAAAUCUUCAUGAAGAUUGAGCGAAAUUUUAAACAUAAAGUGUGCAAUCUGUCCACUACUUAAAAAUUGUGCUGCAAUUCUACAUGAAGCAAUUCACAAAGCAAUUUUGCCAUCACUUCAAAACUUCAUUGCUAUUGUAUUUUAGACAAAUGUUUUUCCACUUCCGGUUGAUCCUUCCAAAAAAUACACCUUUUUAAGAUUGUUAUCUAUUAAAGUAAGGAUUUUAAAAUACAUGGUGCAUUAUUCAUCAUUUAACUUUGGCACACAUUCUUCUACCAUUCUUUUUAGUUCAUCACAAUUCAAUGCCAUAUGUUCCAUAAACAUUUGAUUUGUAGCAUUUUCAUUCCAAUUUCUUUUCCACAAAGGCAUCAAUAGAAAAUUAGCAAGAAUUUCAUUAAGAAGAAAUAGUCCAUAAUCUAAUAUAUAUCUUUAUGUUGGUCUUUCAAUUCCAUAAUUUUGAGUUAUUUGAUAACCCACAUCAUCACAAAAAAAAUUCUUUAAACUUUUCACAUAUCUCUUCUAAAUAUGCUUGUAAAUAUUAAAAAAGAGUAAUAACAAACAAUGUUCUUGUUUGCUUCUCCAUUUUUAUUACAAAGGCUUCUUCUAGGUAUUGCUUCUAUUCUUUGUCAUCAUCUAAUAAUCCUAUUUGUAAAUAUACACUCUUAAAAUUUGAUUGAAUCACUUCAUUUAUUGCACAUAGAUCUUCAAAUGAACUUGGUCCACAUACCACCAUUAAAAAAAGCCAAAGAUAGAAUCUUUCUUUUUCAAUAGGAUGAACAAAAUAUAACAUUCUACUUACAAAUCCAUAUUGUCAUAAUAUCCACUUCAUUGAGAUCUUAUUCCAUACAAAAUAUUAUAGAAACUCUUUAGAUUUGUAUUAUUGGGAAAUCUCCAUAGAUUCACCUAUUUCAAAAAAUGAUGUCAAAGUUGUUUUUUGUUACUCUCCAUGGGCAAAGAUUUCAGGUGAAUCACCAUUUUGAUAAAAAAUUAAUUUAUGCAUUUUAACUAGAUGUAAUGUUAAUCGAACCAUAUUUAAAACUUUCUUAUGCAUUUUCAUUCCAAAUAUAUACCAUGAUGCCUCAAAAGCUCUAAUAUAUCGUGCAUUAAUAUAUUGCUUGACCUCAUCCUACUCAUUUCUAAUUUUUAUUGUUGUACAAUCAUGCCUUUUAUAAUUAUAUUUGUGAAUAUAUUUCAAAGAACAAAUAGAAGCAUAAACCUUAAUAUUGAUAUAGCAAUUAUACUUUCUAUUAAGAGAAGGAUUGUAUGGAACAUCUUGAUUUUUUACAACAUGAUUGCCAACAUUGAAAGUCCUUCUAUCAUUUUUCCUAUGAUAUUGAAGAUAUCCAUCAACAUCCAUUGAUGUUACUUUUCAAUAAUCUUUUAGAUAUCUCUUUUUGCAUAUUCUAUCUUUCAUGCAUAAAGCUUGUAUAUUUCAAGGUCUACAUGGACUAUAAAUCAUAUAAGUAAUAAUUAUAUCAACUAAUAAUAGAUCUUUAAUAGAAAAUUCCGUAAAAACAUUCUUAUCAACAUUGGUUGGAUUUCUUAUUUUACCGUUUUGAUCAAAAAAGAGUAAAAAGUGUAUGUGUGAAAGAACUCACUUUUGAAACUCAAUAAUAUGCACUCUUGCAGGUUCAUGUUAUAAAAUGUGAUGCUUAUAAAUAUCUUCAAUCAAUGCACAAUGCUUGAAUUCAAAUAUUCUUCCUAUCAAGUUAAAAAAAUCUUUGGCAUGUUGUUCCAAAAAGAGUGUACUUGAAAUCUUUGACCACUUUAGAUUUACUAUUAUUAUACCAAAUAUAUCUAAAUAUUGAAAGUAUAAAGUAAUGGCUAUAGAAUCCUAAAAAAUCUCAAAUAAGUUUUUUGUAUUUCCAAUAUUAGAUGACGAAAGAAUUAUUCUUUGUCUUAGAUUUUGCGUAUUAGUUUUUUAAUUUUGUGCAACUUCAAAAAUAUUUGCUAGUCCUUUAUAUAUGUUUGCACAUAAUAUAUCUUGAUUCAUACUAAAAUAUCUCAAUCAAUUUUACUUUGUUGUUGUCUAAGCAUCAACAAUAAAUUCUUGUAACAACUUUCUAUCUUGUAAAAUAAUUGAAUAUUCAUCAUAUUGUGAGAACUAUCAAUAUAAAAAAAAAAUCUAUUUAAGUAACAUGUUGUCAUGAUAUAACAUAGCUAAUAGGUAAAAGAAUAAAGAAAAUAUUAUAUUAUAGGAGAUCUUAUUUCAAAAUAUUGCAGAAAAUUAUCUUAAAAAUAUACAUAGUAGUCAAAAGGUAAUAAAAUUAAAAGUGUAAAUAUUGCCUUUUUGCACAAUCGGCUUCUACUUACUUUAUAGAGCCAUAAAUAAGGCAAAAAAAGGUAGAUUAGAAAAAUAAAGAAUAAAGACAUAUACACAAAAGAGUUAGAAGUUGAUUUUAGCAAAGAUUAUUUCAAGAAAAAAAAUGAUACUAGGAAAGAAUCAGUUGCCAACUGCGAUUGAAAUUAGACCUUGAGGCAAAAAACCAUGAAUCUAUAGCAAUUUAAGGAUUCUUUUGAAAAUUCUUUAAACUUCUCACAUAAUUCUUCUAUUUAGUAAGUAUAAUCUUCUUUAAAAUAUUUGUCCUUGUUGCCCACUUAAUUGUUGAGAAGUAUGCAAAAUUUGAAUUGAAAUGAAUAGUUUAAUUGUUGAGAAGUAUGAAAAAUUUGAAUUGAAAUGAAUUGUUUAAUUGUUGAUUAUAGAGAUUUCAAUUUUCUAUAGAGUUUGUUAAGAAUUUGUUUAAGAUUUAAGAUUGAUUUAGGGUCUAGGAUUUGAUUAGGAUUUAUUUGAGGUUUAUUUAGAAUUUGAUUAGGAUUUGUCAAGGCUUUGACUAUGGUUUAUUUAGGAUUUUUUUAGAGUUUGUCUAAAAUUUGAUUAGGAUUUGUCUAAGAUUUGAUUGGAGUUGUCUAGGAUUUAUCUAAGGUUUGACUAAGAUUUGUUUAGAGUUGUCUAGGAUUUGACUAGAAUUUGGCUAGGAUUUGUUAAAGAUUUGCUUAAGGUUUGUCCAAGGUUUGAUUUCCAAAGUGAUUUUAUAUAUUCCAAAGAUAGUAAAAUAAUUUUAUAUUAUUUUUACUAAGAUUGUUUGAUUAUUUGUACUAGAUUUGUACUUUUUGAAUUAAGGUAGAAAAAACCUUGUUGACAACUAAGCAGUGUAAUCAAAUAUUUGUAAUUCAAAUAAAUAAAUAUACAAAGUCUACUACUAAAAAAUUUAACAUUGAAAAAUGAAACUUUAGGCAAAACAACACAAGCCAAAAUCGUUACAAGCACAAGUAAUGAUAAAUCAAGGAAUAAACAAUCUACACAGAGGAAGAAAAAAAAAAUAGAAUUUAAAAAAAAAUAUGUCAAGCUCAUACGUCAUUCACAAUGGAGCAUCCAAAUGAAAUCUACAUAUUUCUUAUACUUCAAAAGUUAACAAAAAUUCCAAAAGCUAAACCACCACUAAUUGUGAAAUCAAAAUUGGCAGUUUAUUAAAUAAUUAGCAAAUCAUUAAACAAAUAAGAACUCUCAACAAUAACAAUACAAUACAAAAUUGCUUGUUAUAAAACAAUAAAGAGUAGAAUGUUUCUAGCAUGAAAGAUAUAAAAAAAAACAUGAAAUCGUGCAAAAAAAUCAACAAUAGUAUAGAAGACAUGUAGCAGGUUAUAUAUUUAGGUGUAUAUAAAAUGCCUUCACUACAACCUUUAAAGAAGCAAAGUAUUACUUCAAGUCAAAGAAUAGCAUUUAAAGGAGCAUAUGUCUUACUUUGUUCAAUAAGAAUAAAGAUGGCCUUCAUCUUUUCAUUCCAAGCUAAUCAAUACAAUACAAUUAAGUAUCAAGGCCUUUAUCAACAUAUUGCCGCCCCCAUUUUCAAUUGUUCUCAACUCUCCACACUUGUUGUUUUUGAUUGCUCCUAUUCCUAACAUUCUUCAUUCUUGACAUCCCUUGUUCUUUGUUCUCAAAAAACCAUUACUCUUGUUUCCAACAUUCUCAAUCCUCUACCCCGUCUUUAGCAACAAUUGGAAAUAGGAAAUGAAAAAUAGUUGAAAAUAAGAAAGGAGGCUGCAAAGGUGUAAUGAUGGCUAAGAUAAAUUGAGUCGCUUUAGUAAAAAUUUAAGUCACUUCAUUAUUCUCUUAUAUAUAUAUAUAUAUAUAUAUAUAUAUAUAUAUAUAUAUAUAUAUUUCAUAAAAAAAAUUAAAAAGAAAUAGUGAAUGUAAGAUCAAUUGAUGCAUGAUUAUGAAAUAAAAUAAAAACAAAUAUUCCAUGUUAAGAUAAAUGUAGCUAAUAUGGUAGAAAUGAAAAAAUUGUUACAAUUUGAUCUUUGUGAAAGAAGUAAAAAUUAUUGAAAAAUAUUUUGAUUUUAUUAAAUUAUAAUAACAUAAUUAAAUAUUAUAAAAUAUUAAUUCAUGUUAUAAAUGUGUACUCUUUUUGAUAAAAUAAACUGACAAUUUGAGAAAGAUUCAUGCUUUGCAUGUGGUACUUUAUUCUUUUUUCUACUGUCAUAAAGCAAACUAGAAAUACAACAAAAAUAAAGAUAAAUAAUAAUAACACUAAAAAAAUUGUGAUCAAGUUUUUUUUUCUAAUAUUUUAUCAAUUAUAUCAAUCAAUUUAUAUAAAAUAAAGGUUAAACUAUACAAAAGCUCCAAAAUUGUAUUAUUCAUAUAAUUGUAUAAAUAAAUUGUCACAAGUAGAACUAAUUUUUUUAACUUAAAUUACAUUCAAAAAAUUCAAAGAUGCAUUUUAAAAUUGAAAUUUUCUCUAGUUAAAUUCUUUAGCACAAGUGUAUUGUCUCUGUAAUACAUGCUAAUGUUUGUAUGAUUAUAUUGACACAAAAUAAUAAUUUUAAUUUUACAUAAAAUGUUUGUU